rnacentral:lncRNA from 1 species
AACGCUCUCGUUCGUCCCCACCUCCCUCGCCGCCGUGUUCCUCGCCCCGCCGCCGCCGCGGCGCCCUCCUUCUCGCCGCCGUCCCCGAGCUCGGCCGCCUCCCCCCGUAAAUCCACCCGCCUCCGUCAUCCCGAACCCCCGGAGCCGCCCGUCCCCGCCCUCCCCUCCGCCCGAGGGGCCGCGCCGGAGCUAGGGUUUUCGGUUUCUAGGGUUUUGGUCAUGGGCGCCUCGGCUUGACGAAGAAGGGGGGCGGCGGCGGCAGGAAGAGGGGGCGCGGAGAUGCUGACGGAGAAGCCCAGCUGGGUUCGCCAUGACGGCCUGCAGAUCUUCUCCAUCGACAUCCAGCCCAGCGGCCUCCGCUUCGCCACGGGAGGCGGCGACCAGAAGGUUGAAUUUUUUUUCCCCUCUUGCUAAUUUCUCGCGUGGAAUUCGGCUUUGGCUUGGCCAAGCUCGGUUCUUUCCAGCGGCGAACCGGCGUUGAGGUUCAGCGUAGAUGGAAAUAGUGCACAUCAGUGUGAUGUAGUGGUAGCCAUUGCUCGUUUCAUACGCUGUUCUCUGCAUUAGCUUGCGAGGUUCAGUGUUGUCGUUUCUCCGGCUCAGGGGAGUAGUGCCAAGCUCAGUUCUUUGCAGCCAUGAAUUUUGGCGUUGAGGUCAAGUGUAGAUGGAAAUAGUACAAAUCAGUGUGUCGUAGCGCCUAUUGUUCCUCAUUCUAUAGGUUGUCCCGUGCAUAAGCGUGUGAGGUUCAGUGUUGUAGCCGUACCUUUGCUCGUUUUAUACGUCGUUCUCUGCAUAAGCUUGUGAGGUUCAGUGUUGUCGUUUCCGGCUUACAGGAAUCUGCGUGGUUGUGUGUCUCAAUUGGUUCUGCUUCUUCAUUGUUGUCCUUGACUGAAGUUAGUUUGUGCUGUAGUAUUAGGAACUUGUUAUUUGGUGGCACUCUUUGGUCAAGCUUGAAAUUUUUUGGGGCUCAAGCCUACCGUUCUUAUGAUGGUAAUUGAGCCAUUUUUCUUACUAAUGGAAGGUAACUAAUAGAAAGUUAUGGUUCAUGAAUCAUGAUUUAUUUGCCGAAAUAGCUGUCUGUUAGUCAAAUUUAUUGGUAGGAUGUUUGUUUGACGAUGCUAAUAUAUUGGUUUGGUUCUGCAGUGUUGAUGUUGUUAACUUGUUGUGUCAUACUGCAAGAAUUUUGCAUCAACUCUUGUACAUUAUUUUUUCUAUUUUAACCGAUUUGUUAAGUAACAUGCCUGUUGCUAAUCAUCAUCUGUUUGUCUGCUUCAAAAAUAGGUUCGCAUAUGGAACAUGAAAUCCGUGAGCAAAGACAACCAAAAUGAUGAUUCCAACCAAAGAUUGCUGGCUACAAUGCGUGAUCAUUUCGGAUCAGUAAACUGUGUGAGAUGGGCCAAGCAUGGACGCUAUCUUGCUUCAGGAUCAGACGAUCAAGCUAUCCUAAUUCAUGAAAGGAAAGCUGGUUCCGGUACAUCUGAGUUUGGAAGCGGAGAGCCUGCAGAUAUAGAAAAUUGGAAGGUCGUUAUGACCUUAAGGGGGCAUACUGCGGACGUGGUAAUUAUCUGCCAAAAUUUCAGUCUAGCUAUCUUUCUUCCAAUUUAUGGAAACCUGAUAAAAAUAUUGAUACUGUGAUCUUUAAUCUUUCCUAUUAAACACAUUCCUGUUUCUUAUGCCUAAAGUAGGUAGAUCUGAAUGUGGUAAUUAUCUGCCAAAAUUCCAGAGCUGCCUUUGUUAGUCUUUUGUAUUAAUCACGUAUCUGUUUCUUAUGCCGAAAGUAGGUAGAUCUAAAUUGGUCCCCUGAUGACUCGACGUUGGCUAGCGGCAGCUUGGACAAUACUGUUCACAUUUGGAGCAUGACAAACGGUAUUUGCACUGCCGUCUUGCGGGGGCAUUCCAGCUUAGUUAAAGGAGUUACUUGGGAUCCUAUUGGAUCUUUUAUUGCAAGCCAGUCAGAUGACAAGACUGUUAUCAUAUGGCGUACGAGUGACUGGAGUCUUGCUCACAAGACUGAAGGCCAUUGGUCAAAAUCCGUAUGUUAUGUUUCAUGCCAUUUUGUUAUCAAUUUACUGUUUCUGUGUCUGACACGUCUUUUGUUUGCAGAGAAGUCUUUCUUACUGAAAAAUAUUACUUUUCUGUGUUCCGCAGCUUGGUUCGACAUUUUUUAGGCGGCUUGCUUGGUCGCCCUGUGGCCACUUCAUAACCACAACUCAUGGUUUCCAGAAACCUAGGCACUCGGCCCCUGUGCUUGAACGGGGCGAGUGGACUGCAACUUUUGACUUUCUGGGACAUAAUGCGCCUGUGGUGGUGGUGAAGUUUAAUCACUCGAUGUUCCGUAAGAAUUUAGCUACUGGUCAAGACGCAAAGACGGCACCAGCUGGAUGGGCCAAUGGAGCAUCAAAAACAUCAGCAAAAGAAUAUCAACCAUAUAAUGUUAUUGCUAUUGGAAGUCAAGACCGGACUAUUACUGUUUGGACAACAGCAGGUGCCCGGCCAUUGUUUGUUGCUAAGCAUUUCUUCACUCAAAGCGUGGUUGAUUUAUCUUGGUAAGACACUUUAACCUUACAUUUGUAACAAAAGAUGUUGCCAUGUGCGGCUAACGGUGGAACCAUUUUUUCUCCCUUACAGGAGCCCUGAUGGUUAUUCACUUUUCGCGUGCUCUCUGGAUGGAUCAGUUGCGACCUUUCACUUUGAAGCAAAGGAGCUUGGAUACAGGCUAAGUGAUUCUGAACUGGAUGAAUUAAAGAGGAGUAGAUAUGGUGAUGUCAGAGGGAGGCAAUCAAAUCUAGCUGAAAGCCCUGCGCAGUUGCUGCUAGAAGAAGCAUCAGUGAAGCAAUUGGCUGCCAAGAAGGCGACACCUAUCGUCCAACAAUAUCAGGCACCCCCAAAAGUUCCUGCAGAUGUACCUAAACCACCUCCUGUUGUGGUUGUGGAGAGUCAGAAAGCUCCUGAAACUCUACCUGAAGGCGAAAAGAAAACAGCAGGUCAAGCGGCUGAUGACACGUCUAAAGUUACCCGGGUAUCUAGUCCAGUAAAACAAAGGGAAUACCGGCGUCCUGAUGGUCGGAAAAGAAUAAUUCCAGAGGCAGUGGGAUUUCCUUCUAACCAGGAAAACUUGUCCAACCGUCCUCAGAAUCAAGUUGUUGAUUUUUCAUCCCUAGAUCAGCGAAUGCGCCCUGGAGAGAAUGGAAUAAGAUCAUCCUACGGUACCGCUAACUGUAACAAUUGUGGAGUUAGGGAACGCUCUGGCAUCACAGCAAGAGCUAACAUUAGCGAGAGUCUUGUUAUUCAAAAAGCUUCAGCUGGUACUGGCAGGGAUGGAAGGUUGAGUGUUGAACACACUGGUUCUGUUGUUCCAGGCUUGCUGGCCUCCUCCUCUGAGCUCUCUAUUUUUGUAUUCAAUAAGAAGGACAAUGAUGAUUCUUUGCCAGUCUGCCUUGAAGCCAAGCCAGUAGAACGUUCUGCAGGUGAUAUGAUUGGACUGGGUGGUUCCUUUUCAACAAAAGAAACCGAGAUUAGAUGUACAAAAGGAACAGAAACUCUUUGGUCCGAUCGCAUCUCCGGAAAAGUUACUGUCUUGGCUGGUAAUGCAAACUUCUGGGCAGUUGGCUGUGAAGAUGGCUGCCUGCAGGUAGAAAUAACCCCUCUGGUGUACUUUUUUUGUUUCGUUGAUUUUGUGUGUUUUCAGUUUUUUGAAGAAUGUUAGCCCUAAACUACCCAAUCAAUUGUGUUCUGGUUUGAUUAGGUUUACACAAAAUGUGGGAUGCGAGCAAUGCCAGCAAUGAUGAUGGGCUCCUCAGCUGUUUUUAUAGAUUGUGAUGACUGCUGGAAACUAUUACUUGUAACAAGGAGAGGUUUAAUGUACAUAUGGGAUCUCAAUAACAGGACCUGCAUCUUGCAAGAUUCUUUGGCGUCUUUGGUUACCUCUCCAGAUGAGGCAUCAGCCAAAGAUUCUGGUAAAACAUUUACAUCCAGUCCUUCCUCAGUUCACCUUGCUGCAUCUCGAUUAGUGUCUGAUGCAUGUUGUUUCUUGAAGUUGAACUUUCUUUCUUGCGUGACAGGUGCAGUAAAGGUUAUAUCUGCUAAGUUCUCAAGAUGUGGUUCGCCCUUGGUUGUCCUUGCCACCCGGCACGCUUUCCUCUACGACAUGAGCAUGAAGUGCUGGCUAAGGAUUGCGGAUGAUUGUUUUCCAGCAUCAAAUUUUUCUAGCUCGUUUAGUUCUACUCAAGGUGGAGAGCUAGGAAAGUUGCAGAUUGAUAUAGGAAAGUUCAUGGCUAGAAAGCCUGUUUGGAGCAGGUAUGCAAAGCUCCUUUGGUUUAUUUAUUUAGUCUUAUAGAUGCUUGAAACUAAUGUCUGUGACAAGCUGGGUGCCUAUUGCACAGUAUCCCAGAGUUUGUUCUGAAUGUACCUGUGUGACUGUUUCCACCUCAGGGUUACAGACGAUGGAGUGCAGACGCGGGCCCAUCUUGAGACCCAGCUAGCAGCUUCGUUGGCUUUGAAGUCUUCACAGGAAUAUCGCCAAUGCCUCCUAUCCUACAUUAGGUUUUUGGCAAGGUUAGCUCAUUAUAUAUCAUUCAGCGCAUCUGUACAGAUUCUGCUCUCUUCACUUUUAGUAUUUUCUGUAAGCAUGAACUUUAUCUGUUCAAUUGGUUGAGAGAUUUCGUCUUGAAGUAGUAUCAUGCUUUGCUGAAAUCCUUCUUUCGCCUGCAGAGAGGCAGAUGAAUCUCGCCUACGUGAAGUCUGCGAGAGCUUUCUUGGCCCUCCCAUGGGCAUGGUUGGUGCUGUGUCUACCGAUGCGAAUAAUCCGUCAUGGGAUCCUGAUGUUCUUGUAAGGCUCUUUUUCUGUUAGAUUCCAUGGCAUACAUAUGAAUGUUUAGUUAUUCCAUAGACUGGUAGUUUCUGUUAGUUGCUACAGUCCUUCCUGUUACAGGUACCAGCUUCACAGAAGACAGAUUAUUUGAACCUUGGAUUAUACUCAAUUUCUAUAUUAACUGAAGGGCUUAGAAACAUUGAAUUAUAUAGUAAUUGUAUUCGAUUUCAACACCGGUGUCAGUUGCGCUCUUCGAUUGAUAAACUUUGCUGGUGGUUACUUUUGCAGGGAAUGAAGAAACAUAAACUUCUCAGGGAAGACAUACUUCCUUCGAUGGCGACAAACCGCAAAGUCCAGCGGCUGCUCAACGAGUUCAUGGACCUGCUGUCGGAGUACGAAAGCGCCGCCGAGGAAAACGUCGACAAAAUGGACGUGACGCCUCCAGCAGCAGAUGCCAAGGUCGAUAAAAUGGACGUGACACCUCCAGCAGCAGAUGCCAAGGUCGAUAAAAUGGACGUCACACCUCCCGCGACAGAAGCCAAGGACGCCACCGCGUAGCAAACAAACCCUUCCGGUCCGGUUUGCUGGCGAUUUAUUGACCCCUUGGUAAGCAUAGAGAAAAAGUGCAUACACCAUAGUGUAUUUUGAGAACUUUCUCGUGGUUGUUUUAUUCUGCUUGUAGUUCCUAGUGUCCCCCGCCUGUUCGUCAAGGUGUGACCUCGGCGGAAUGACUUUAACCUGUUCGCUGUAACGCGGGUGUAACAACAGUAGAAAGAAAGCGAGGUCGCCUGAUAUGGUUCUGUAACAGUUUUAUCCGUAGAAGGUCUUGAGGAACUUUUUGGGUCCAUAGGCGCAAUGCCGUUUCUUAUUGCGAGCAGGAUGCACGGUGCAUCCGCUUCCUUUUCCGAAGCGAAAUGGUGUGUUCUCUUCUCGCUCAUGCGUCAUAGUUCGAUGCUCGGCUUGGCUUACUCGAUCUUUACUCGGAAUAGAGUAGCGAAUUUCAGUUGUUGAGGUGAGUGGAGCAGAAGCAAAUGGAACAAAUUUUGCACUUGCUUAUUGUAUUUUGGAAGCUGCUUGUUUCAGGUGAAGCAGAAACAGGGGAGAACAAUGGUGUUGGUUAGUACUGCUUUCUGCUGGGUACUACUAGUAAUGGUAGCUUAUGUCUAUCACAAAAAACAUGGCCAUGUCUUGUCAGACGGAGAGGAAGCUCUUGACGGCGACCCUGAAGGUGCCGGCGACAGCAGCCCAGGCGGCCUGCGUCGGGUGCACGUCGUCCCAGUAGAAGUAGCGGCCGGGGUCGUCGCAGAGCGUGUACUGCCGUGUGCCGUUCUCAUUCUCCUCGCCGCAGUAGCCGUCGGCCCUGAAGCUCUCGCAGCAUGGCCGCAGCGUGCUCGCGAACCUGCUGCUGCUCUUGUUGUCGUCGUCGUUGAGGAGGAUGUCGGCGAAGGGGGUGUGGACGUCGAGGAGGAGGAAGGUGCGGUUGUUGGGGUCGAGGGCGCCGAGGAUGGACCGGAGCGCGGUGUUGUGCUGCGCGGCCCCGGCGUUGGCCAGUGGGUCGCAGCCGGUGUAGUUGAGCAGGCGGGUGAAUGUCGGCGUGCAGCCCAUGGGGUGCAGGUUGGUCACCACCACCCUCCGCAUCCCCGCCUCGUCGCGCAGCCGCCGGAGCUGCUCCCGGAGCUCCCGCACCACCGUCGGGAUGUACGCGAUCGCCGCCUGCACUCGGAGAGCAGAACAACUCCGUCAGUCAAUCAGAUAUGGGCAGUAGGUUGACACCUGACAGGUGCGGUUGUUGCAUAGUGAGGACGUACGCUGGUGCCGUUGUCCUUGUCGGCGGCGGCGUAGGCGUAGUCGUUGCCGGAGACGACGACGAGCGCCGUCCGCUUGCCGCAGCCGCGCUGCUGGCUGUGGUGCAUGGCCUGGAAGAGGUCGAUCUGGGCGCUGAUGUUGCGCUGGAAGUUGCCGGUGUCGAGCACGCCGGCGCCGCCGACGGCGAAGUUCAUGCCGCGCGCGAGGGUCUCCCGCGACGCCCGCCGCCGCGCCUUGUAGGCCACCGGCGUCCGCAUCCCCAGCGCCGAAGCUGCACGCACAUCGGCACAUGCAUAUGCCACGUCAGACCAAAAAUAGUUAAGUAGAAACACUACGCCAAUGACAGUACAAAACACUCAUCUCAAACAUACUAUCUCCCAUUUCUCCGACAAGUAUGAGUAGAUUAGUGAUGAUCUCAUGGUGUAGUAUAACUACUAUUUGCCUAUAUCUAUAUGUCAGUUACCUGAAUAUUUCAUGCGACUCGGUCACUUUCAUCAGGACCACUAGAUCCUGAUCCAACGGCCAAAAAAAUGCAUUUUACUUCCUCCGGGCCCCUCUGCCAUGCGCCGCUCUGCCCUCCCCAUCGCCGCCCAAGUCAUCCCUCUAAGCCACACCCCAAUCAACAGCGUCGGCGACAAACCGGUCUCAAGUUUCGGACUCACUCCCGCCGGAUCUCCUCAUCCAUGGUCGGCGCUCGCCACCGGUGCACCUCACAACAUCCCGGCCUACGGCCUCACGCAGAGUAGAAAGUGACCGACGCUCAAAUUGUUUUGAGGUUACCUGACGGUUAGCAAGCCUGCAUAACUACUCCCUCCGUUCCCAAACAUAAGUCUUUUUAGAGAUUUUAACAAAUGACUACGUAUGGAGUAAAAUGAAUGAAUAUACACUCUAGAAUAUGUCUACAUACAUCUGUGUGUUAUAUUUCAUUUAAAAUAUCUAAAAAGACUUAUAUUUAAAAACCGAGGAAGUAUAAAUUAAUCUAGCUUUUGUGCUGGAAAGGGGAAGAUGCCAGGGGUGUGGCUGGAGCCGGGAAUAUCUUACUGUCCCUUUCUCUGACAUGGAAUGGAAGUAGUACCAAGGCAUUAGUAGUUAGCAGAUUCAGAUUUGCUACUAGCCUUUAAGACUUUUUUGAUUUAUACAAAUAAAUAAACUAAAUAAUACUCUCUCCGUCCGAAAAAGUUUGUCUCUCAAAUGGAUGUAUCUAGCACCAAGCACCAAGUUAGUGCUAGAUUCAUCCAUUUUAAGAACAAAGUUGGGACAAGUUUUUUCAGACGGAGGGAGUACUAAUGUGCAUGGCGACUAAUCAAUCAUCCUAAGCUAUUGACUGACUGAUCAGUGGAUGUAAGUAAGCUGAUGAGAAUAAUCCGAGGAGCUUUUGUGCUGGAAAAGGGAAGGUGUCAGGGUUAGGUUGGAGCUGGGAAUAUCUUACUGUCCCCUUUUCUGACAUGGAAUGGAAGUACUCCUACUGGUUGUUAGCAGAUUCAGAUUUGCUAAGUAGCUUUUGACACUUUUUGAUUUUGUACUGACUAAACAACGUGUAUGGUGCACUUGGUAGCACGUAGUCAGUACGAGAAAGAUCUCGCUAGCUUAGCAUAAAGUUUGGACCCUCGUAUCUGGCGAACGUUUGCCAAGAACGGGGGGCAUUCCGAAUGAGUGUCGCUCCGAAGAAACUGCCACCCCGCAUACACUAAAAAUGCCAUAAAAAUCGUUCAAAAUGUCAUAUGUUCCUGGUGAACGUUUGUCGGGUAACAUUUAAAGUUCCCUGGCGAAACAGAGCAUUGCCAUUGCCUGAGAAAUAUGCAACACUAUAGUGGUGUUUAUAUGUCAAAUUGCAUGAGUAGCAUGACUCCUACCUGAUACAUUAUGAGGAUGGUAGUGUAGCCGAGUGUGAUGCGCCACCACCCUAUGAAAAAGCCUAUGUAGUACGGUCAGCUCUCAGCUGGUUUGAAACAAAAACGUCGGUCAGAUUAUGAAAGCUCCUGCCGGCGCUUCAGACAAGCUGCGUAGCACAUCUGAUCUGACCGGACAAGCACUGGAAUCGAUGGAUGUGUCAUGUGUGCAUGCUAUACAUUGUUAUGCUCAGCCUUCAUCAGCUUACACUCAACAGAAGAUAGGAAAUAUAUACUUAUUUUGUUUCGUAUGUAAUCCGUAGUGAAAUCUUUAAUGGGGCUUAUAUUUAGGAAUGAAGGGACUAUAUGCUAGUUUAAUAAUGCAUAUCGAUCGAUCAUGGGUGAAGCCAGGAGUGGGCUUGAGUCGUGACAAGACGACGGUAGUCGGUGAAAUGCUUGCUACACACGCACGAGGUUGGGCGUGCAGAUGCAUGUGCGCGCGCAUGCACACUGAUGAAUUUAGCUCCAUGUGUGCAUGCAUGGGUACACCAUACAGAUGCAUGGAAAGAGGAAUGGCGGCAUGUGUCCAUUUUGCCGGCGACAUGCAACGCAUGCAGCUAGCGUAUGGCCAAGAUGGGUGAUCAUGUUGCACCCAACCGUGAAGACCGAUAUGUUACCAAAAUGAAAUGAAAAGAAGAAGAUGAAAAUGCAAGAGGAUUAGUUACCGGCCGUCUGGCCAUGUAUAGUAGAACUCAACGAAUUAGUACCCCUAGUUACUCCACCGUUUCUUUUUUACUUCGCGUAUAAGAUUUUCUGAAGUCAAGUUUCAGAAAUUUCGACCAAAUUUAUAUUUAGAAAUGCCAACAUCUCCAAUAUUAAAGUUAUAUGAUGCGGAAAUUAAUUCGACGAUGCAUCUAAUAACAUCUAUUUGGAACUACUAUUGUGAAUGUUUGAUAUUUUUUUUUACAUAAACACGGUCAGACUUCAAAUAAAUCUUAUAUGCGAAAUAAAAAGAGAUUAGGGAGUACUCCGUCGUCCACCCAACGAUUUGGACACGACCUAUCUGUGUAUGUAUCAACCAAUCAAUGCAUUGGCGAGCGAAUUCCAUGGACAGCUUGAUUUCUGCGUCCAUCUAUCUAUCUAUUGGACUUCAUUUGGACCCAACGACCAACUGCAUACUACACAUGUAUUUACUCCGUCCACUGCACCGCACAGCACCGCCGUGCCACGUCUUCUCCGGCGAGGCGAGCGUCCGGAGUAGUAAUCGACGGCGAGGACUAGCGAAGGAGGAGCAGGGUGUGGUUAGUGGACUUACCGACGAAGUCUGUGAGGACGCGGCCGUCGGAGAAUCGGCCGGCGGGGCGGCGCGGGAAGGUCUUGCCAUAUGGGUCGUACCAGGCGUGGGUCAGCUCCCGCCCCAGGUUCCCCAGGUUGCCCGUGUCCGCGUACGAGUCGCCGAACACCCACAGCUCCUCCGCCACCUCAUGCUUCCGAUGGUGACGACCACGACUCCUCCCCUGCUGCUUGCUCGCCCGCUCGCCGCCGGCCGGGCACCCGUCCGCCGACGCGGCCGAGGCAGCGGGCAACAGCGCCCCGACCAGCAGCAUCGCCAGGCCUUCAGUUCAUCAGAGAGACAGAGGGCAAAUCAAUGAGUGGAGUCAGAGAAGCAGAGAGCGAGAAUUGAAGUGAGCCGGCGUGGUUAGCUGAUGAGCAAUAAAUGGUCUCUUUUAUGGCUAGGAUGGAUCGACUGGCUGCUUACAGAGAAGGGCCCCGGCGGCGGCCACCGACGGCGGGCGGCUCCGGCGGUGCUCCAUGGCCGUGGAGGUGUGGUAUGUGGCCGGCCUCGACCGCUUCGCGACUGUCUGUCUGAUGCCCCUAUGAGUGAUGGCGCGGUUUGUGGUGUGGGAGGUGAGGGAUAUGGGCCUGUGCCGGAGAGGAAGCUUUAUAGUCGGCGUACGUACGCCAUACAUCUCCGGCCGCUAUGACUGGAAUGGAUGGAGACACUCUAGCAGUCAGUGGACACCGCCAUUAUUCCUUCCUCGAAACCAUAAAUAAUGUCAGCACCUCAUGCGUGAUGCGUGUAUAUCUGAAUUUCUCCAUGCAUGGGCUGCAUGGUCAACACCUGUACACGCUAUACGUAUGAGACGACGCGGUUUUCUUUAAUUUGUAUGCAUACAUGUACUCCCUCCAUUUCUUCGAGCAUAAGAUUUGUCUGAAGUCAAACGACUGAAGUUUGACCAAAUAUAUGAUGCAUAUAAUGGUAUUGAUUCAGUAUUGUGUGUGCUGAUAUUUUUUCUAUAAAGUUGGUCAAAUUUUAUGAAGUUUGACUUUAGACAAAUUUUAUAUUAAAAAAUAGCAACAUUUAUAAUACUAAAGUUGUAUAGUAGGAGUAUGAAAAAUAAUUUCAUGAUGCAUCUAAUGAUAUGGACUUAGUAUUGUCGGUGUCGAUAUUUUUUGAUAUAAAAUUGAUCAAUGUUUACAAAGUUUGACUUCAGACAAAUUUUAUAAGCAGACUGAAAAGGGACGGAGGGAGUAUGUCUUUAAUUAUCCUUAUUAUUGUAUAUCUUCAAAUAUGACUAUACUAGUAGUACUUUUUUUGUGUUGUAUAUACACGCCAGCGAGACGGUUCCCUAUAUUUGGCUCGAUCGCUGGGUCUGACCGGCCGAUCUGGACAGCCAACCGCCACCGAAACGGCCGGCCCACCGUCGCCGUCGUGCUACAGCGAGCCAGCCUGCAGCCACCCCCGUCGUCAGCCACGGUUGGACGUACACACGGCUCCGGCCUCCGGCCAUGGACUGCUGCAUUAACUCUGAACCGUCGUCUCUCUGCAGCCGCGUCAGUCGGGCAAGAACCAGUGUCAAUGGAAGUCGUAUCAUGAUAGUUUUACCCCGUUGAGCGAGUAGCAGUAGCGGUGGGUGGUUUCGUGUUCUUUGUAAGAUCAAACUUGCUUUCGUUUAGCCCUUCUUUUAUCAAAAAGAAAGUUUUACCGCAUUUUGUUUCAGUUUUAGGCAGCAGAUUCUCGCAGGAAAAAUUAGAAGCUUAAUUUUUCUUUUAUAACCAGCUUUGCUAGUGAAGUUGAACUUGGAUUCCGACUAUUUUCGGUGCAGUUACCUAAAGCACGCCCCCAAUGUACUUCAGUGGCAAUCAUCUUUGCCGGUGAGGCGAAUUCAUAUGUGAUUCAAAGUCAAUUCCAACUGAAAACAGCAAUGCCUUAAGUCGACCACAGUAGUUUCUCUCCCCCUCACUCCUGUGCCUCGCCUCCGGUGAGUUCUUCUUGUCCGAGCCCUCGCCGACGACACCGCGGUGUCAUCGUCUCGCUUUGCUUCCGUCAAAUACGACGAACAGUCGAUACGAAAGUGGUCCCCUUCUGGAUUCGAUGUUAACACGGUUCAAGGAUCGGGUUGGAGCAGUCCUUCGAGAUCUUAAUGGUAUGUUUUUUUUUUCUUGUUUUGGACAUAACAGAAAGUUCAUCGCUGCAGCAAACGAAAAAAAUUGAUACUUGCUUGGAGUCUGGUUUUUUUAUAGAAGUUUCUCCCUAAAUAUGUAAUUAGUGUUAUAGUAGGAGUACACACUAGAAAAACUCGCAAGUGCCCCUCUAUACUUUUGGGAUCACUUAGAUGUGAAUAUAUUUUUAUUUUCUUUUUAUGAUCGAUUGUGUCACUUAGAUGUGCAACAACCAAACCACUAGAAAAACUCGCAAGAACUGUUAAGAUGAUUCCAUUCCUGUGUCAGCAGGAGCUAGCAAGUCAGAAGAAGCCUCCAAGGACGCACAUGUUUAUUCUCCUCGCUCGCUCUGACACAGCGGCAGAAUCUUAGCUUUACGAGAUGCAUGCUCCGCGUAUGUAUGCUGCAUCGUCUGUUCGUCCCAGCCACCCACAAACCCACCUAAUAAAGCUGCUAUUAUCACUAAUUUGGCCUGUUAUUAGUUCAGUUUAGUCAGUGCCACUGUCAGGCAUUGCUAGCAAUGUGGGUACACGUACGUGCUUCCAAAGUUGACCAGCACUGACGUGUCCUGUUUCAGACAAAAGGAUAGGAGAUAAUCAACACGUACUGUAGCUUGCGUGGCGACUGACGCGUGGGCAUGCUCCACGCUGGAGUGUCCUCUAACUCUUUUUUUUUUGCGAAUAAGAGUGUCCUCUAACUCUAAGACCACACAAACAUUUUAACACCACAGUAUUCCCAUUUUUUGUGAUAAACAUCGGUGAAUGCUUCAUCUGCGUGCCAUAUUUCAUGAUGGAAUGACAUUGGUGCAAGUCUUGGACAAAAAUAAAAUCAAUGCUUCAAAAAGAUAUUUUUUUGAAUCAUUUUCUCCCAGACCUCCACAAAUGUCAUUCACUCAUGAAAAUCUACACACGGUUAAAAUAUUCAUCAAUGUUUGUUGCCAAAAAAUAUCAGAAUUGUUGGAAAUUUUCAAUCACCUUUUUUUUUCGAUUUUACUACUCAUCGGGGUACAUGUGGGCUCUGGAUCACAAGGCCGCUAUUCACUUCUUCACCUAUUGACCCGUGACACCACAGAGUUCCAUCCAGGACUUCUCGUAUAUGCCACACACCUCCUUGAUCAUCAUUUUACUCCCUCCAUUCUUUUACAAUCUUGUUCUUCCGACAAGAUGCUCGAGUAACCUAACUCUCUACCAGUCGGCAAAGCGUGAUUUUUUUUUAAACGCACGAAAGCAACAAUGCUCUCUAUAUACAUUCACCGUGACAUCUUCCCCACCGGGAGCGCGUCCAUGUAGCACGGGCGGUAAGGGAAUGCACGCUCGACGCUGUUCCACCGGCCGACUUCCUUGACGAGCCCCUUGCCUAGGUGUUGCAUCCUCGAGGUGCUAAGAUGGUACGCCAUCGCCCUACCGUUCAUGUGGAGGAGGAGCACGUCCUUGUGCGGAUGCAUUCCGAUGAUCCUGCAGUACCACCAGUGCUCCAACGGCUCGGGUCGGACAACGACACCUUCGUCCAAGUCAAUGAAGUUAUCCUCAUCCGAGUCCCACAUGUAGUUGGACCCACUUUUGGUUUUCUCUUCUUCAUCUUCGUCUUCCUCUUUGCUCUGGCCACCGAGGGGGUUCAAAGAGGCUGGCUUUUGCUUCAUUGCUUUCGACCAACUCCCAUCGCGCCAUUGAUUUUAUAACUUGUGAUGAGCGCUUUAUUUGGUGACUGAAAAGACUAAGGUUGGCCUCGUGUGUACGUGUCCACCCUAACCGCCCGUCAACAAGUUCCGUCAGUUUCCACACCUGGAGUUGGAACAUGUCGAGCGCCACGUAGUGGAUCCCUUUCUCAUAACUCGCUAAGACCGACCUAGUAGGAAGGAUGCCUCUUUGCUCUUCCUCGUCACAGGGUAUAUCAUAGGUAACCUGUGAGUUUCUUAGGAUCAUAAGAAUAUGGUUACCGCAAUGCACAUAGAGAGACCCUCGCCAAUACAUAGCUGACUUCCAUAUUUGGUUGUAGUUUUCAUACUAGUACAAAUGCCCGUGCGUUGCACCGGGCGAGAAAAUGGGGACAACUGCUUCAUGUGCCAAAAAACGUGUAUUCGUCACAACAUUAUUGAGCAAUUAAUAAAGCGUGUGGUUAGCCUAAAAAACCUGCUUCAUGUGCCAUUGUGCAUCAUUUUCUUAUACCCAAUUUUAAUAAAUGUCGAUGAUAAGGUUAAACAUGGAAAAAUUCUUAUCUUUGAUAAAAGUUAACGUUUACAUAAAGACCGGAACACUUUUUUAAGAUUAUUUAACAUUUUUAGUAAAUUGGAACAUUUCUCUAAAAAGGAAUUUUUUUAACAGAUUUUUUUACAAAAUGUUUUGUCUUUUUGAAAAUUAUAUUAUAUUUAUAAUUGUUUUUUGCACUAUUUGGGCUUGGAGCAAACAUAAGGACUUGCCUAUUCAAACACGCACGCUCUCAGAAAAAGGAGACACUCUCGUUGCGAGAUGAACUGCACUCAUUGUCUCUCUUUCCGUUCCCCAUCUCAUUAUCCCUUGUAAACGAAUAAUUGCCCCUCUUCAUUUAAUUGCCCAUGCGUCGCAACAUGAACCGUAACAUAAUUUGCAUGUUUGAAAAGUCGCCCGGGAUUGAGAUAUCUUGGCUAAAGCAAAUGCAUAAACAAAUUCGGGUGUUGUUGCUCCAUGUAGUCCCGUUGUGCUGCCUUGCUGAAGAAUGAAGAAUUAACUGUGAUAUAAUUUGCAUGUUUGAAAAACUUGACUGAGAUUCAGUCAUCUAGUCUAUAGUAAAUACGUAACUCAACGCCUCACUAUGAUAUGGAUAAACCUUACGGCCCUCUUAAACACAAACAAUGAUAAUUCUUGUGGGAUCUUCUCUCACAUAGAGUGUGAGAAUUGCAAGAGCAGGACAAAUAAUCGUACAGAAAAUCAGAGCUAGUCAUGAUCCACCCACCCAGUUGCUCUGUUGGCUUCAUGUAUUUGCUCACCUCUCAACAAAGCGACCUCUAUAACAUUGUACUGCCCCAAGUAGUGUUCCUCUAUGUCGUCUCAGUGUUUCAUUCGAGUUUUUUUUCCGCUAUUAUUCACCAAUGAACAUAGAAAGGGGUCACCAAAGGUAUCUUCAGAUAUAACUUAUCCAGGGCCAUCAGUUAUGGUAUAAGCAUCCAAAGGUACAUUUGGAUAGAACUUAUAUACAACAAAUAGAGUCAACCAAAAGGUGUCUUCAGAUAUAAAGCCAUGUAAAAAAUUGUCACCCUGGAAAAAUAUUGCAUGCUUGAGAGAUCUGUAUGCACGUUUCCAUCUCUGUUUACAAUUUGCGACCAUGUGAGCAUGGUCUAUGUUACAGUAAAAGAAAGCGAAGAAAAACUGUACCGGAACAGAUGACCUUUAUACAGGAAGGAAAACUAACCAUGAAUAGAUUAGCUUUAAGUCACAUGAUGGGGAAAAGGUAGAUUUACCAUUUGGAAAAAAUAGUUCUUAUUAGCACUAAGACUCACAUCAGGCAUAAAAGAUAAGGAAUGCCAACAGAAGCACCACAAUUUGAGUCGAAACCUGACAUGGGUAAUAGACGAUUACUUUUGCUUGAAAAAAAUAUACCAAAGCUUCCAUUGGUCACUGAAACUUCUCCGGGCAGAAUAUAUGGUCCAGCAGAAAGCUACACUAUCGGCAUUUAUUCAAGCUCAUCCAUGUUAUCUGUUUUGCAUCUUCUCUGAAAUUAAGGACAUUGCUGGCAUAAUUGGUCCAUCAAUCACCCGCUGCUAAGUGAAAAAUAAUUGAACAACUGAAGUGGGGCCACACACUCUAUAUUAGAUAGCAUAUCGAACAAUACCAAAUGUACCAAAACUCAAUGAGAAAGAAACAGAGGUAUACAUGAACAUUUAAAAGUUUAAACAGCAUGCACUUUACAAGAAAAAUUGGACUGGUCUCUCUUGUCAUUAUCUUUCAAGUAGAUUCCUUAUCUUUCAACAGAUUAACAGAUUCAGAUUCUACUACAUACAUCUGACAAUGCAUUUUCUUAUGAGUCCUGCUACUACAGACUUGAGCUCCUUAUUCCGAGGUAGUGAAGAAAAAUUGGACUGGUCUCUCAUGUCUGAUAUUAUAGUAGAUUGAUUAACACUCUUGCCUAACAUGCUGAAUUCUACACAUGAAAAAGCAUCACCUCGAGGGCCAAUUCUAGACAUGAAAAAGCAUCACCUAGAGGGUCUGAAAAUUAACGCAAUGUAUGGAUUGUCAGAUAUACCUCUGGUGUAGACGCCGUAGGUAACAUUGGAGUGCUGGACGGAUGUUUGUGUACCUCAGGCGAACUCGGAGCUUCUUCCUCCUGUGACGCUCUUGACUGUCGUAUCUGAAACUGAUGAGAAUUUUGUUUGCAACCAAUUAGGUGAUGAUAUGGAAACUGCUGUACCCACUCAACAAUUGGAAAAGGAGGCCAUGGAUCUUCAGAACGAAGAGCAAAACAAGAUGGUUGAGGACCAGUGUCAGGAAGAUGCAGCAGAAACUGCACCAGUUUCCUCUGACGAGCAAGACGGUAGCACUGAAGAAAUAGAAGAAGAGGCCAUGGAUCCUCAUAACGUGUUAACAUGGUUCAAGGGGAAGCAUACCUCUGGUGUAGAGUGUAGACACCACAGGAGACAUUGGCGAACUCUGAGCUCCUUCCUGCUGCGAACUCGGCGGAAACAUUGGAUGUUUCGUCGACAAUUAACGUGAUGGAGAUUCCAGCGUAGUACUCUUCCUUCUUAUAGCAAAAAAGAACAAUCCGGGUCAAACACUCGAUUGAGUUUUGUUGGACAAGGACACGGUCUGCAUCAUCUAAUCGUAAUCGGAUCCCCUUAUGUACAUGUCUGCAUCUGGUCUACUGCUAAGGUUCCAUCACCGUGCUUCUUCCUGAUCCUGCCCCCUCUUGCGCAGCUCUUGCUUUCCUGGAUCUUCCUCAGCCACUGUACAAGAGAUGAUUGUGGAAUGGAUGUUGAACACCGAGUACCCGCGCUCGGCCCAGCUCUCGACAGACACCGAGGGAGCUGGCAAUGCGCGCUCCUAGUCGCCGCUGGCAUACAUGAGCUGGUGGAGACGUCGGUCAGCGUGCGGGAUGGAGCCGGCGGGGACGGCAGCCACGGCGCCGCCGCUGGCUUCAGAGUCUCCGCGGAGGAGGGGGGCGAGGCGGGCCUCGAUGCGCUCCACACCGGCGGCGGCCACAUCCUCGUCCCGCAGGUAGACGAGGCAGGCGAGGCGGCCGCGAUGCGACCACGCCCUGGCAUCGACGACGCUGCAGAUCAUGUAGGCCAGCACGGCGAACACCUCGGAGAUGAUCCCCGUGCGGUCGGCGCCCGUCAGCUCAAGCACGGUGGCCGUGGCCGCCGCCGGCAAUGCCGUUUGUUCGCACGGAGAGGCGAGGUCGAGGAGGAGGCCGGGGUUGCGGAAGACGGCGGCUUGGCGUGGCUGGGGCCUCGGGGUAGCGCGCGUAGAGGUGCGACGGUCGCUGUUUAUGGUCGCCGGCGACAGCGUGUGGCGAGUGGCCGCCGGAGCGGUGCAAGGAGGCACGAGGCGCGGGCACAGGAGCUCGGGCGCGAGCGCGCCUCUCCGCGCCGUCCAUCCUCCCGACGAGCGCACUCCAUCCUCCCGCGCGAGGCACGGCGGCCGCCGGCGCACGACGGAAUGGGCGUAGCCGCCGGCGCAGAGUGGAUAAAAGGAAGGAAAGGACUGCGGACUGAAUUGAAAUGUCUAUAGGUUUUUUUUGUAAAAGUGAAACGUUUUCUCUGGGUGCCACUAAAACAGGGACUGCGGGUUGAUUUCCUGUAAAUUGAGGGAGCUUUUUGCAAAACAACCACAACAGACGACCAGAAGCAAUAGCUAGUUUAUUAGUAGGUAAAGAUACUGGCAACAUGUCGUAGAGGUGCUGAGAAGUGCAACAACUUCCGGGCACAAACUCUCGGCUCUCCCACGUGUUAGUCCGUGAUGAGAACACCAUUAAAGACAACACUUCAUCUUCGGGCUGAUCCUCGACAACUAGCUCAUGUAUUUGUUCAACCUCACCUUGUUCUUCUUUUCCCUCUUCUUCAUAUGGUUGGUCUUCUUCAAACAAGCCGCAUAACAGUUCUUGUGCUUUGACGCCGGAUCGGACCGCCUCCCUUACAGGUCGCAGCUGUGUCAUGGUCCGCAGGAACAGGAACACCUCAUGGUGGCGUGAACGGCUAGGUCAAAGGCGAGGAAGAUACUCCAGAAAUACAAAGUGGGCAGGGCAGGCAAGCGGGCGCACCGCACUGUCGCCGGGUUGCACACGUAGUAGAGGUGGGAGCUGUCCUGACGGAGGAGCAGGAGGCCGUUGCAGUGGUCCAGCACGGAGGCCUAGUCAUGCAAGGCCGGUCCACAUAUAUACGGGGCCCGGGGCAGGAAGACAACAAGGGGCCCUUGUUUUUUUUUCUUGACACACAUGAACUGAAAAACAUUUUAUAUGUCAAAACAAAAGUAAAUAUUCAGUAGAUGGAUCCAUUAUCUUUGAAUUCUAAAACUAACUCUACAGUUUAUUUAUCGACCAAGAGAACUUCAAAAAUUUACUAUAUAUUGCCAGUUGCAGUGAUUCCUGAAAGAACUACUUGUCCUGUAAAAAAUUGUCGAUCGAUUUUUUGGGAAUUCUACUUGUUCAUAUAUACAUGUUUUUUUUCUCAUAUUUUCUUCGGCUCUUCACUCUACCUCCUGGGGCCCAGGGCGGGCGCCCCGCUGCCCCGGCCUAUGGGCCGGCCCUGUAGUCAUGCUUGAAGGGAGGACACUGAAACACAUGCCCAUCAUCGGCGGGCGUACGUGGCGGCUUUCCGUCGCGGGCGAAGAAAGAGGGCCCCGACCCAGCUGGUGGUAGAACCCAGUGUGUUUUUGUCUCAGGCCAAGGAAAUCUAGAGAACAAAAUAGGGCCCAAGGUGCAGCCGUGCAAAUGUAAAGCCCAUUAAACUGGUGGAUAUACAAGCAAUACUCACGGAGAAGUCAAAUCGGUUUCCACUGGAUCCACAAGUCCCUCGUUAGUCCUCCUUAUUCAGUGACUCCUCUCCUCCUAACUUUGCCUAAAUUCACAGUCAAUGAACAACGCCGCCGUUUCGGUGACUUUCAGAUUCCAAGGGCGCGGCAAGCAAUUAACGGAUGAUCAUCGAUCCUUCCAAUCACAGAGAUCUGCAUUCUCCUAGUAAUUAUCUUCCUUAUAGUUUAAUGAUUCAGUUUCAAAUAGCUUUGCUCUCCAUCUCUGGCUCUAACUCCUUCAGAUCUGCUGACUUGCAUAGGUCUUCUUAAAUUCUUCGGCUCUUCAUCGGUUCUGAGAAAGCAUUAAGGAGAUUAGGAGAAUGGGAGACGUUAAUUUAAUUCAUGGUGUGGGCUUCUCAUUUGUGCUGACUAUUGUGGCAUUCGUACAAAUUCACAUUAUGCCAUAUGAUAUCCAGGUGCUUUUCUGAUCUGUAUUGAACAUCUUUUACGCACCAUAUAUGAUGACAUGUCUUGUCAAAAGAAUUUCUCUAGUAGUAGUGAUGAAAAUAUAAGAAAAAAAACAUGUAUAUAUGAACAAGUAGAAUUCCCAAAAAAUCGAUCGACAAUUUUUUACAGGACGAGUAGUUCUUUCAGGAAUCACUACAACCGGCAAUAUAUAGUAAAUUUUUGAAGUUCUCUUGGUCAAUAAAUAAAUUGUAGAGUUAGUUUUAGAAUUCAAAGAUAAUGGAUCCAUCUAUUCCAUCUACUGAAUAUUUACUUUGGUUUUGACAUACAAAAUGUUUUUCAGUUCAUGUGUGUCAAGAAAAAAAACAAGGACCCCUUGUUGUCUUCCUGCCCCGGGCCCCGUAUAUAUGUGGACCGGCCCUCAGCCACGGCAAAAAACAAUCACCGAACACCAAACGCUACUGGAAGUUCAACUACUUAUUACAAGGUCCAUCGACCUGAAAAGAGAUAGUUUGAAGUUCGACUACUACAAAUUCAGAUCUUGCUCCUAGAAGUCACCUCCAGGCAAUCCGCAGGAGUCCCCCCCCCGUCGCUUGUCCAGGAGACGGAUGUACUGACGCAGCAAGGUCGCCUGAUUGUCGUUGCAGAUAACCUUCCAUUGAUGCAAGUGGGAGCUUAGUUUUGCUAGCACACAUCUGACAUUUCUCCAGGUACGACCCUGAAAGCAAAAAAUCAUUUCUUAAUUUCCAAAUGCUCCAUAAGGAUGCAACUACCAUCAAGUUAAGUACAUGUUUUUCCUUAUGUUUCUGCCACAAGGCAUGAACAUCACUAAAGUUAGAAAUAUAUGGGUGGUCAGAGCACUCAGCAACAAAAUCCCAAACUUGUUUUGCCACCACACAAUCGAACAAAAGAUGAUGAACAGAUUCAUUUUCACAGCAAAAAAGACAGGAAAUAUCCUCAACUGGUCUUCUUUUGGCUAGGUUAUCGCGAGUAAGCACCUUGUUAUGAGCACACAACCAUAAGAACACAUGAUUUUUUUGUGGGCACAGAACUUUCCACAGCUUAUCUCCAACAAUGGAGACUGCCCCCAAAGUUAAUCUGCUUAUAAAAUGAUUUGACAGAGUAUAUCCCAUUUGUCUCCAGAGACCAAACGGGAGUAUCCGUAACCUCACUAAGCUGGGCGUUUUUAACCAGACUAACCAAUUGGUUCCAGCCAUCAUAAACCACUUCAUCUACGCAUUUCCUAAAGGUCAGCUUAAGGUUCUCACCAUCCCAAACUUCUGGUACAGAGCACUCAGUCUGGUUACAAAUGCAAUAUAACUCCCAAAACUGAGUUUUAAGGGAACAAUCCCCAAUCCAAGUGUCAUGCCAAAAGCUAAUUCUCUCCCCAUUGCCCAAUUUCCACUUAUAAAAGGUUUUUGCAGCAGAUAAAGCCCAGGUAGCACUCUUCCAGAAGGUAGAGCCCACCCCAUUUCUAGCCCACAGAAUAUUAGGAUGAUUAAUGUCAUAUUUGUAAGCAAUAAUUUUCUUCCAAUCACUGUCAUUAUUGUCAAAGAAUCUUUUCCCCCAAGAGGCCAGCAAGGCCAUAUUAAACUCUAUGAGGUUAGGAAUACCUAAACCACCAAAUUUUUUCUUCCUAGAGAUCAUGCCCCAAUUAGCCAAGUGANNNNNNNNNNNNNNNNNNNNNNNNNNNNNNNNNNNNNNNNNNNNNNNNNNNNNNNNNNNNNNNNNNNNNNNNNNNNNNNNNNNNNNNNNNNNNNNNNNNNNNNNNNNNNNNNNNNNNNNNNNNNNNNNNNNNNNNNNNNNNNNNNNNNNNNNNNNNNNNNNNNNNNNNNNNNNNNNNNNNNNNNNNNNNNNNNNNNNNNNNNNNNNNNNNNNNNNNNNNNNNNNNNNNNNNNNNNNNNNNNNNNNNNNNNNNNNNNNNNNNNNNNNNNNNNNNNNNNNNNNNNNNNNNNNNNNNNNNNNNNNNNNNNNNNNNNNNNNNNNNNNNNNNNNNNNNNNNNNNNNNNNNNNNNNNNNNNNNNNNNNNNNNNNNNNNNNNNNNNNNNNNNNNNNNNNNNNNNNNNNNNNNNNNNNNNNNNNNNNNNNNNNNNNNNNNNNNNNNNNNNNNNNNNNNNNNNNNNNNNNNNNNNNNNNNNNNNNNNNNNNNNNNNNNNNNNNNNNNNNNNNNNNNNNNNNNNNNNNNNNNNNNNNNNNNNNNNNNNNNNNNNNNNNNNNNNNNNNNNNNNNNNNNNNNNNNNNNNNNNNNNNNNNNNNNNNNNNNNNNNNNNNNNNNNNNNNNNNNNNNNNNNNNNNNNNNNNNNNNNNNNNNNNNNNNNNNNNNNNNNNNNAUCAAACCUUGAGAGGUGGCUUUAUGUAACAUCUUAGAAAAGACAUCCGCAACCAAAUUAAAUAGCAGUGGGGAUUGAGGAUCACCUUGUUUGAGCCCUUUUUUAGCCAUAAAGUGAGGGCCUAUAGUAUCAUUAAUACGAACACAAUAGGUACUCUAUAAGAGAAUAGUUUUAAUCCAAGAAAUCCACUUGUCCCCAAGACCUCUCGAGUGAAGCAUAUCAAAUAGGAAAUCCCAACUAACUCUAUCAUAAGCUUUCUCAUAAUCCAGUUUCAGAACUAGACCCUGAGAAUUAGAUCUCUUAACCUCAUGGAUAACUUCAUGAGCCAUCACCACCCUUUCUAGAAUAUAUCUCCCCUUAAUGAAAGCUGUUUGGUUUAAAGAGAUAAGUCUAUGACUAGUAGGGGAAACCCUAUUAGUCAUGGCCUUAGAAAAUAUUUUAACACCACAAUUACUAAGGCUGAUAGGCCUUAAUUUUUUUCAUCUCCUUGGCAUUAGGUUCUUUAGGGAUAAGAACAAUUAGAGCAAAGUUUAAAUGAUAAAGAUCAAGUUUACCCUCUUCAAAAUCUCUAACAAGGGCCAUAAAAUCCACUUUAAUUACAUCCCAAAAGGUUUGAUAAAACAAAAAGGACAACCCAUCAGGACCCGGAGCACCAUGUGCAUAGGAACCAAAAAUGGCUUCUUUAAUCUCCUCUUCACUGAAGUUUCUCUGUAGCAUGUCAUUUUCCUCUUGGGUAACCAUGUCUUCUUCCUUCCAGAAGGAAGGCCCUAAUUUAAUAUUAUGCUUCUCCUCGUGCCUAAACAACUCCUUAUAAAAGGAGGUAGCCACUUCCAACAUCUCAUUAGUAGUGUGGACAGGGCCAUUGUCACCAAUCAAUUCAGAAAGAUAAUUUUUCCUAUGUCUAUGAUUAGCCAGAGCGUGGAAAUAUCCAUUAUUUUUGUCCCCAUCUUUAAUCUUACGAUCUCUGGACCUUUGCCACAAGGCAAUCUCCUCUUUAUGCCAGAUAUGGUUCAAUUCAUCUUUAAUCUCAAUCAUACGGGCUUUGUCGUUUGCAUCAAGUUGGUUGUGUUCAGAGAACACAUCUAGGAUAUCGAACUCCAACAACAACUCUCUCUUCUUCUUCUUCAUGGCAGCCUCUAUAUUAAUGCUCCAACCUUUAAUUUUUUUUCCUGAAUAGUUUAGAUUUAUUCAUCCAAAUAUCUAAAGCACUGCAUGAAUGUACGUACGUGCGUACCAACUUCGAAUGAUAAUUUGGAAAGAAUUCAUUCCGUGAUUUGCAAACUUUGAGCUGUCAGUUCGUAAACGGUGAAUUGUCCUUUUAUGUACGCAACAAACUUUUUGGAAAAAUACACUAAGACCAACUUUUAAUGCAAAAUAACCAUUUUUUGUAAUACACUAUGAUCUCACUUUUGAAAUACAUGAUGAAAAAAAUUUUAUAUACGCAAACAACCAUUUUUUAAACACGAGAUGAACAUUUUCUUUGACAUGCAUAGUUAUUUAAUAAUAUACUAUGAACAUUUUUUAAAUACACGGUGGACAUUAUAUAAUUACAUGAGGACAUAUUUUAUUAGACGAUGAAUAAAUACAAGGUGACAAUUUAUAAAAUAAGUGAUGUAACUGUUUUAUCAGGAUGGAAUUUUUUAACACAAUGAACAUUUUUUACCAUAAAAUAUGAUUUGUUUUAACAUUAUGAACAUUUAAAAAUGUACAGUAGCAUAAUUCUUAAAAUACUUGAUGGACAAAUUUUCAAAUAUUAAUUGAUUUUUCAAACUCGAUGAUUUUUAAAACAUGAUGCAUUUUUUAAUAAUACAUGAUGCAUAGUUUUUAAAUACACCCCAAACAUUCUAUGAAAUACACAAUGAUUCCUUUAAAAAAGAAAUAAGAACUGUGUAGAGUUUUUUGCGAGAAAUUUUUUGAUCUAUUCAUCUUGUCAUGUCAGUACAAAGAGCACAUAAAUAAGAAAGAUUACAUCCAUGUUCAUAGACCACCUUAGCGAGGACUACAUGUACUGGAGCGAGCCGAUGGCGCGCCGCUUUAAUCAUCCCUCUCUCACCUGAGCUGGGCCAAACUUGUUGUAGUAGACAACAGGGAAUCAUCGUGCGAAUGCCUCAUAGGACCAACGUAUCAGAACAACAACCAUCGCCGAUGAAGAGAAUUAUACAUCGAAAGGAUCCAAUCUUUAAACACACGAAUGAAGAUGAACAAAAACUGAAACCAAAUGGAUCAACCAAAGAGCAGCACCGACCGAAUCCCGUGAAAUCUGGUGGAGACACACAUUCACACCCCCUUCGAUACGCUAGACGCAUCACCAGAAUGGGUUAGACAGACAGAACCUUAUUCUAUCUUUAGGGAGCCGCCAUUGCCUUGUCUUCCCGAGUAGGACACACACACANNNNNNNNNNNNNNNNNNNNNNNNNNNNNNNNNNNNNNNNNNNNNNNNNNNNNNNNNNNNNNNNNNNNNNNNNNNNNNNNNNNNNNNNNNNNNNNNNNNNNNNNNNNNNNNNNNNNNNNNNNNNNNNNNNNNNNNNNNNNNNNNNNNNNNNNNNNNNNNNNNNNNNNNNNNNNNNNNNNNNNNNNNNNNNNNNNNNNNNNNNNNNNNNNNNNNNNNNNNNNNNNNNNNNNNNNNNNNNNNNNNNNNNNNNNNNNNNNNNNNNNNNNNNNNNNNNNNNNNNNNNNNNNNNNNNNNNNAUUUUUCAUAAAAAAUGCCAACUUUGUUCAUCAAAAUAAAAAUUCAUUCAUAAACUUCCAAAACGUUCACGAAUUUCAGAAAAGUUCAUCUAGUCAAAAAUUGAUCAUCUAAUUGAGAAAAGCUUUGACCAAUUCAAAAUUUAAAAUCAUGAACAAUUUCUUUUAAAAUUCCAAAACAUAUUUUUUUGAAAUCAUGCACAAAAUUUGAAAUCUUGAAUACUUCUCAAAUUCGUGAACAUUUUUACAUGUAAUUAAUAGUUUUGAAAUCAUGAAGAUUGUUUCAAUUACACAAAUAUUGUUUCAAAUUCAGGAACAAUUUUUCUAUUCAUCAUGAUUUUCGAAAGCAUGAUCAUUUUAUGAAGUCAUGAACGAUUUUUAAUUCCAGGAAUAUUUUAAAUUCACAAACAUUUUUGAAAUUCAAGAAUAUGUUUUGGACUCACAAACAUUUUUCUAAUCAAAAAACAAAUUAAAUUCAUGAAUUUUAAAUACAAUUAUAUUUAAAAGCCUAACAGUUUUUAAUGAAGAGAAAUGAGAGGAAAGGAAAUAGGGGUGAAUUUCGCCCCACAUGGGCCGGCCCAAAGUCGCGCCUGGGCGAACGAGACAUUACCUCGCUGGCCACCACAUGGGUCUGGGAGUAGGAGGUAUGUCUUGUCCGUACCGAUUCCUCGUCGACCGCUCACAGCCACUCUCGUGGCGUCGUAUGUUCGCUUUGCCCUUGUUUUCUUACUAGCACAUAUGCAUGUGCAUUGCAACAGGACAAGUAAUUGACAUAUUCACCAGAACGUAUAUCAAUGUGACACGACAAUAUCUGGACGGUGCCACCUGACGGCAGCAGGGAUACGCACACCAAGGUUGAAAUGUGCUCCUUCCUUUGUUGUGGUUGUCUCAAGAAAGUCUUAAAAAAUGGAUUAUUAAUGCAAGAUGAUGGACUCCGGAAGGAUUAAUUCAUUAAUUAUAGGUCCCCCUCAUAUCAACAAUCCCAGAAAUCUAGUCUUACUUACAAACCCGCCUUAUUUAUAUUGACACAACCGCCCAUGCAAAUUCAACAAUUUUAUUUAUUUAGAGCCAAUUAGUCAUGCUAGCUCAAAUCCAUUUAAUUCCUUCGUUUCCUGUAUUCCUUAGUUCCUGAAGUGGCUUCCUGAUUUCCACACAAUUUACAAAUGUAUAUAAAUUGAUGUAUUCUCGUGCAAAGAGUCAAGGUGGGACUUUUUAAUUAAAUAAUGAACCUAUUUUUUAGCACAAGCACAUGCUAGGUCAGCUGGUUGGGACCUUUGGGGUCAUGAGUUCCAAUCCCACAAAGCACAAAUAUUUUUCGCUACUCCUUAGUCUGCACAAAAAAGGAUGCAAUGCUAGCCCUUCUAAGAUAUUUCAUUAACAUAUGUAGCCAAUUUAAAUUGUGCUACUCCUUAGUCUGUAGAAAAAAGGUGCAUUGCAGACCCUUAUAACAUAAUUUAUUUAACAUAUGUAGCCAAUUUAAAUGUGGUAGAUUUUUUUUAAUAUUCCAAAGCAAUUAAUUAGGUUAAUUAAGGUUAUGUCCUAAAAACAAUUUUAUAUUAGCUAGCACCAACGACUAAUAGCGCACUUGGAAACUAAGCAUUAUAAAUAUAAUCCGAGUUGCGGUUGCAAAGUCAUAGCAUGAUCAUUUUGAACACAUUCUCGGUAAAUAAUAAAGACCAGGUUCGUAAACGGGCUGAAAGUAGAGGGAACUGGGCCUACUGCAGCUGAAUGCGGGAUAUCAACCAACACCCACGUGCGGGCGACAGUGGCUACAGAAGUUGGGCCGAAGCCAACAGAUAAAGAGAAAGGAGAGGGACUUAAUACUGGACCGUGGAUUAUUCGAAAAAACACCAUGGGGAUUUUUAUAAAACGUACGAUGGAGGACGGGCAGAAACACUCCGUACUUUAUUAGUAGGUAUACUUUUUUCUUUUUUGCACCAGUUUUCUAUGGUUUGUUUUCAUUUUUCGGAUUUUCUAUAUUUCACCUUUAUAUUUUUAUUUUCUUCGCUUCUGUUUUGUUUAUUUUUCGGUUUUAUCAGUUCUCUAUUUAUGUUAACACAUGUCUACUUUUUGUCUGUACAUAAUGUAUAUCUUUAUCCCAUAUGUUAAUUCAUUUUAUAUACAUGUUGUAUUUUUUCAAAUACAUGAUGUAUAUUUAAAAAAUACAUGUUUUGGCACUUUUUUGAAUACACAUUAACCUUUUUAAAUAUCACGUACAGUUUUUGAAAACAUUUGAAUAUUUAUUUCAAAUGUCACAUUCAUUUUUUAAAUGGAUAGAAGUAUAUAUUUUAAACCUAUGCAACAUUUGUUAAAAUUGUAUAAACAUUAUUUUAAAUGUCACAAACAUGUAGAAAUAUUUAUUUAGAAUUUCAAGUUACUUUCUAAAUUUUACGAGGUCUUUUUUUACCUUACGUAAACAUUUUUGUACACUGCUUACACAUAUUAGUAGAAAUUCUUAAUAUAUUUUUGAAAUGCGGGAACAUCUCAUUAAAAUGCCCUGUACAAUUAUCAAUGGUAUGACUUUCGUGUAGCGUUACACAAACUUUUUUGUUAUGUUAUACACAUUGAAAAAAAUUGCGUACAUUUGUUUCUGAUACGUGGGAAUACAUUUUCAUUGUAACAAACAUUUUUUAGAAGUUAUCAACAUUUUCUAAAAGUGCACUAACAUUUUUUGUACUAUGUGAAGAUUUUUUCAAAUUCAUGAUUUUGAAUUUUUUAAGUAAAUUUAAGUUUUUGAGAUAUAAGCAUUUAGAGAGGAAAACAAAAAGAAAUUUGCUAGGAAAAAAUCAAGUGAUGUCAACGCGAUGACCCAUGUCCCUACUGGUCCGGCCCACCAUCCUCCCUGUAGCAUGCUCGUAGCACGAGGGAGCCGUAUGUCUCAUUAUAAGUGAGGAGAGAACAUCAUGUGGAAACCAAGUUUCAACGAAAACUUCGUGGAAACAACAUAUGAAUGUUUCAAAAAAUUCUGGAAAAAAGAUGGGAUAUUAAGAGGGUAAUGAUCUACUGGCAUGCUAAGAUCGAAGUUCAAACACAUUAUCAAUUACAAGCUAUGAAAAUAUAUUUUUUGGCAAUGAAUAGUGAUGUUUAGUGUUUGACACUAUUCAAAGCUGAUCUUGUUAUUUUCGCAUCUCAUAAAUGGUAAUUGAUGUGUUUGAACUUGAAAAUUUCACAUACUAAUAGAACACCACACUCUUAACAUUACAUAUUUUUUGAAACUUCUAAACAUCGACUCCACGUGGUUUCCACUGGUUUCCACCGAAACUUGGUUUUCAUGUGAUAUUCUCUCAUAAGCGAGACAUAGACGCGCCCCUAUAUGCGGGUCACGCAGUUUCCUAGCUAUUUUUCAUGUUAUUUGUAUCGGCUUACUGAUUUUAGUUAGUUUUUAAUACAUUUUUGAAAAACUUCAAUGAUAAUUUAUGUUUAAAGUGUUUAUUUUCAGAAAUUUUUGAAUAUUUUUUAAAAUCAUGAAAUAAUCUAAAAAACACAUUAAAAAUAUGAACAUUUCUUAAAUUGGUUAACAUUAAUAAUUUUUUGGAACACCUUUGAAAAAGAGGAAAAAGAAGUUCAAAAAAUGAAACCAACAAAUAAAAAUAAAAAUGUAAAGAAAACAACCAAAACAACAAUCUUAAAACUAGGAAGUCCACCAUACCGGAUUCCUUUAGAUCUAAUUGGGCCGGUCCACUCACAUGUUGCUCUGUGCAAAAGGUUAACUCCUUGACCCAAAGCAACAAAUAGAAAUUGUCCUUCUUUUGUUUACCUGAAAGCACUAGGUCAAAAAAUAUGUGAAAUCGAAAGCCACACCAAUGUACUCCAUUAAAAAAAAUGACGUUUUGAUUUUAGGUCGUCGAGAUAAUAAUAAUAAUAAUUUUUUGUAUUAGUUCUCUGUCCCGACUCAUUAAGGGCAUGGUUCAUAGUCAGCACGUAUAAUAGUCGCCUGUUGGAGGUUGGAUGUUGCCAUGUCAUCCACUCCCUCCAUUUCAUAAUCUAGUGCUUCCUCUAUACCCGUGCUUUAACUUUGACCGUAAAUUUAACUACCAAGACCGAUUGCGGCGGGAGCAAAAAUUAUAUCAGUGAAUUCAUAUUCGAAAGAAGUUUUUAAUUAUGUAACUUUUCUCCCGCCGCAAUCGGUCUCGUACGUUAAAUUUAUGGUCAAAGUUCGACCUUAGGAAGCGCGGGCGCAUUAUAUUUUGGAAUGGAGGGAGUAUGAUCAACUUUAUAGUCAGCACAUAUAAUAGUAAGUUAUAAAUAUAUAUAGUAUUAGGGCCCAUCUAUACUUUCACAAAGUUUUUAGGAGCACGUACUGCACCUGGCUGUUAAUCUACAUCCCGAUUCUCUUCUCUUUCCUCUUCUCUCCCCUCUAACUCUGUAGCUAGAAUAUAUUAUUUAAUAUUUUAUAACCCGCUUACAUGACCUUAUUGUACUUAUUUUGAGAUGUCACUUUGUAUUACUCGCUCUAAUGCAAGAAGUUGGACGACACAAAUUCUUUUGUGACUCAGAAAUCCAUAAAGCCCAACGGUUACAUAAAUAUCAUUUAUGGUGUCCAUCAAAAUUGUACAAUUAAGUCGUUCUCUCUAACCAAUUUCCGAGUACGAAGUACAAGCUCAAUCUCUGGUGUCAUCAUGUCAAAAAAAAACCCUCCAUUGAGAUAAUUAUAGAAAACGAAAACUCUAUGUCAUAGCACUUCCUAUAUACUUCCUCUAUCUCGGUUCAUCGAUGCCCUCAUAUUUUGGGUUCAAAUUUGACCAUUAAUUUCACUAAUAAAGUAUAAAAUAUAAGUCACACAAAUUGUAGUACGAGAAACCUCUCUCCAAUACAAAUACGUUCUAUACUUGUGAUAGGAUAUCUCAUAUUUUAUUAUUCUUAUAGAUGGUUAAAGUUUAAUAGAAAGUACAAGGGGACCAAUAAAUCUAGACAGAGGAAACAUGAACCUUUAAGGUUGAUUGACUGUGAGUCUUGGGGCACUUCCCACAUGAAAAGUAUUACGUAUGUGCCAUCCAUCUGAGUUCUUUAAUCUUGCUUCAAGCUGAGAAAUUCUUAGGAGCUGCAAAUGGGUCCUAUACAAUAUAGUCACAUGGCGUGUCCUACAAACUUUUAAGGAUGGUUGAUUGCGAGUCUUGCAAGAGACUUCCCAAGGAACGUAUUACCAACCGCUAGAUCCUCACUCAAUAUAUGCCAUAUUUUUCUUUCACUCCAACUUGUGCAUUUCCUGUAGUUAUGAAUGGGUCCCAUACCACAUAGUCCACCGGUGCAAUGAUAGUGAUUGAGUUCUGGAGGUGAAAAGUGAAACAACAUCCACCGUGUGCCAUCACAACCCCUAAUCACAUCUCCUCUCCUCAGUCCUCAUGAAAUCUCUCCUAUUUUAGUCUCCUUGCUCUGAGGGGUUUUGUCUUCCUCCAGCGUAAACCUUUCUUGACGCAUCUCUCCCCCAACGCACCUCCUUGCCUGCCUUCACACCGACCUUGCUCGCUAUCCCCUCCUGGCCGGCUCUAGUAGACCAAAUCCUGCCUACACAUUCUCACCAUGCACCACUUGACCCUAGUCGCCAACUGAAAUAGUAGCAACAACCACUAUCCUUGCUUGCCGCCAUGGGUCUGACACCUAUUCGCUGGUAUCAACGGUCCCAUGUCCUGAACAAGAUAACAAAUCAAAAUAGUUAUUUUGCACCCCACCUUGCGGCUAAAUUUCGUGUUUUGACCCUUUUCUGAAACCUAUUUGAGAUUUGACCCUAUUUUAAAAAAAAUUCAAGAUCUGACCCUUUUGCUACCGCCAGGGACCAUGACGGUAGGGUAUAACAGCCUACUGCAAAGGUCUCUGGCGGUAGGGUUGCAUGCCCUACCGCCAAAAACCUUCUAAGUAUUGAACACAGUGCGUGCUCGUGCCUACCGCCAAGCACCUUGGCGGUAGGGUUGUGCAGGCUACUGCCAGCCCGGUUGGCGGUAGCGAUGUUUCUUACCGCCAAAGUCCCUAGCGGUAGGUUGUUAGACCCUACCGUCAUGGACUCCGGCGAUAGCAAAAGGGUCAGAUCUCAAUUUUUUUUUUCAAACUAGGGUCAAAUCUCAAAUAAGUUUUAGAAAAGGGUCAAAACACGAAAAUUUGCCCCACCUUGUGCAAGCCUCACAAGCCCUUGAUUGGACAAGAUGAGUAUCGACACUUAUCAGCCACCGUACGUGGUGGCCAAAUUGCACCUCUCGCUCGCCGGAUGAUCUAACCAGGUGUAUCUCGUCUAACUAGAUUAUUUUUACGGCUGAUGCAAGGAGACUAUUCCCUAUUUUUCCACAUGUUCUUUCACUACUCAUUAAUUGUAUGUCAUGCUAUAUGUAGCGGCUAAGGAGCCAGCACACUACAUUAAUGAACCAAUAAUGUCUAUUUGAUUUUGGAUGUGAAAAAUUUAUAGUGGUGAGAUUCCCCUGAAAAACUUCAUAUGAGUGACAUCAUGGCAAAAUGACAGUUGAGAAAUCACAAUCGUUUAAACAAAUGCUUGUCGCACUCGCCCGUGCGACAAAGUGCGCUAGUCACACUAGUUAUACAAAUGUAUGUAUACUGCCUAGAUCAGACCCUUAUUACUUUAUUCCCCAUUCAGUUGCCUGGAAACUUAGCUAAAAUAUAGCAAUAGAAUAGACAAUAAAACUCAUAAAAAAACUAUUAACUUACUAAGACAAUACACUAAUUAGGUGAAUAAAUUGCAAUUGUUUGCACCAAAAUGUGUCUUUCCUCAACACAUACUACCAAAAUCAAGGCAUGUGGUUCCUAGACAUCAAUCGGUUGUCAUCGCUGGCAUAAAUAUGAUACUGUCUAAGUUUUAAGAGUGUCCACCAAAGGUAUAAAUGAGGCAAAUAAAAAAAAACAAUUCAAAUUAGAAAAGAGAAAAGGACUCUAAUAUAUUAUGUCCCAAGAAAAUGUGCACCCCUUAUCAUCAAGCAUUGAAAACCAACUCGGUAGUAUAUGUUCCCAUCGGUAAUAAUUAUCCUUUGGAUCGAAACCAUCAUCAUGUGUAGUUCAUCUUGAAUCCAUUUGAUAUUAGUUUCUUAUUAGCUAUGUUAGGAGAGAAGACAAAGAGUGGUCUGCCAGAUCAUAUGAGAGGGAAGGAAUAAGAUUUUUUUAUUACUGAUAUGUUCUUACUUAGUUUUGUUGAGAGCGAGAGGGAAGAAUGUAAGGGAGAAAGAAUGGUGCUAAGUAUAGUGUAUGGCCCUACAGAUGUUUGUAUUAUCAUGUCAUCUUCAAUACAUGGCUUUGUGCAUCGAUUGAUGCAAAGGCUGGGGAUUUUAACCUCCCUUUUGGAGGAAAAAAUAUCAUGUAAAAUACUAUAGAAAAUUAUUUUUCGUUUAUGCAUACGAAUUAAAAAGUAGGAUUCUUUCCAAUAGAUUAGAGUAGAUGAAGGCUUUCAUUAUAAACUCGUAUGAAUUAUAAGGAAAAAUUGGUACGGUUUGCAAUCCUAUGUAUCAAACAUGUCAUGUAGCAAAAAUUCCUAAGGACUAUAAUCCUCGAAGAUGCUUUGAAUCAAAGUGGCCCUCAAAUUACAUAGUCGACGCUCACAGUAGUAUGGUACCAUCUUUUUGUGACAGAAAGACUGUAAUGGAGGUACCUACAACAAUUGGUGCAACAAACCGAAAUUGUAAGUACCAUAUCUUGAACCUAAGUGGGAGGGAAGGCAUCAACCUCUUUCCAUCACUAGACUAUGCCUUACACACUGCAGUAUGGUACUAUCUUGAACCCAAUAAGCUCAAAACCUCAAAGGAAGUGGGCAACUGUAUCUGCAAAAGUACCCAAACUUGGGGGUAACACUAGUGGAUGGCGCCAGCCUAGCUGUUGCAGUCAUUCUCAAUAGUAUCUCACAAGGCACAUAUCAAGUUGUUCUUGUAGGAAAUAUUUCGAAACUGGCCCGUGUUGUGGCUACAACGUUGUGCAAGAAAGAAAUAUUAUGGUCAGGUCUAAAUAUUUGAAUCUCCUUCAUUUUAAUCACAUGGGCGCAUUUUGUUUUCUUGUAUCAACAAGCAACUCCUCUAUGCAGGCCAUAACGACAAACAAGCAACAUUAUGAUUUCCAUAAACCCAAAAUACCAGAAUAUGCAGCUUACAACCUUUUUUUAAUAAAAAAAACUGCCACUGCAAAGGUAAGAAAAUAUGCUUGCAUGCAUGCAGGGACAUUAUGAAUAAUCAGUAAUGGAAUGGCUGAUUGAAUUUUACAGAUAUGGGUAAUUGGAGAAAGUUUAGAUGCCUCUGAGCGCUAGACAACAAAAGGGCACAGUUUAUCCCAUACGCGCAAUUCCCACCCAGAAUGAUACGGAGGGACUGCUACACCUACUCGAUGACUGCAACAAUGGGUGUUCCUAAAAACCGACAAACCUUCAUUCAUGCAAGGUAAUAAUUAAGGCCCCACUGAAAUGCGUUUGUGCAACAACUACUAGCUAUAUGUUCUUAUUACAUUAACCGACUUUAAAACAGUUUAGAAUUGGCUGCAAAGGAGGAGGAUGAGUGCAUGGUGUGUCGCUGGUAUUGUUCAUGCAUUGGAGGGAUGAAAUAUCAUGAAUGUGGAGACAUGGUGCUCGACAUGGACAAAGUUUGGUCUUCUGCAAUUUCGCACGAGUUCCACUCCGGUGUUGAAGCUUGAUGCCACGGUUGCAAGUCAUCAGCAGAAGAAGAGUUAAAUGGAUAGAUGUGUGUUAAAUCCGCAAGGCCUUCUUAGAAGAAGACACAUUGGCUAGCAUAAGUGUGGCAUGAAAUUUUAGAAGUUUGAUCUACCAAGGUUACUUGGUGGGAUAUUAAUACCUUGUCAUCUCCUAUUAUAUUAAGUUAAAUAGCAGUAUACCCGCACAUUUGCGUGUCUAGGCCAAUGCAUGUUUAUUUGAUACUAGGAAAAGAACCCGUACAUUGCAACGUGUGGAAAAACUACCACGUGUCCCUAACCCAAUAAUCAUGACUGAAUACCUCAAUAGAUCCACGUCCUUUAUUUCAACAUGGCAUUUUAUCUGUGUGCUUAUCAUCCUUCUCACCGUCGCUCAUGGUGGCUUCAAUGCUCACACAACCACAAUGCGUGUGAAUGUGUUCAAUCCAAAGGUGUCUCUCUCGGCAUAAUAUGAGAAAAUUUUCCUUGCGAGAUUUUGAUGAGGCUCCAGUAUGGUUUUGCGGAAGUGCUCAUUUGCAAUCCAGAUCAACAUCGGUACGAAAGAAAGAUAGAUCGUGCGAUAUUGAUUAAGAUUCCACCCUAAGUAGCACUUCAAAAAUGUUUAACGGGUAAAAUAACAUCAUAUUCAGAUUCUACACAUGUUUUUAAUCAAAUUUCAUAUAUAACAUGUUAAAAUUGAAGUUAGGGUUUAAAAGAUAUGUAUAUAUUUUUUAUUUUAUUUUGUUUUAGAUGGGCUUUUUGUUGAUUUACCAAAAUAUAGAGGGGUUCUCUUUAAUUCUUAUCACAGUGUACUAUGGGUUAAUUACCAGAUAUGGCAUGGGGUCUUCGGUAAAACUUAAAAAAAGAUUCGUUCCUCUAACUUAAAGGUGAACGGCGGGUUAAUUAAUUACCAUAAAAGGCAGAUAGUUUUCUGUAAACGCGAAAAAUGUUUGGUUUUAUCGGACUUGAGUUGGAGUGCAGGUUAAUUAACCUGAAACGCAGGGUUUUCUGUUGUAAAAUGGACGACGGACGGGUAGAAACAAUAUUCCCUUUAUUAGUACUUUAUUAGUAGGUAUAGAUUAUUUCCUCUUUAAAAUAUUUGGUCCACGGUGACCUAGCUAGAUAUAGCCAAAAUAUAGGUCAUGCUUCUACAUGAUUGUACUUAGUUCUAAAUAUUUUCAUCGAGUGUAUUUCCUCCUAGCUAAAUAGUGACGCACAAGAUCGAUCUGACUGAACCAUGGCUUGGGUGUAAAACCAUUAGUAUUGGUCUAGGUGUCGGUAUUAGUUAUAGAUUUCCUUCAUUGUACUCCAAGCCUAUAGUACUAUAUAUUUGCCUCUUGGGUUAUGCAAUACAUUCAGUAGGCCACUAUUAUGUGACACUAGUAUGUGAAGGUGGUGGUGGGAAGGUUGUCGAUCUGGUAGCCUUCUACAUUGAGAUGUGAUCCACGUGCGGUAACUUGAGAUAUAAUAUAUGGCUGGACAGUGGCGGCAUUGGUGUUCUUGUCUGCAGGUACGCAUGCGACAUCGGCAAUCUUGUGUGUCCAAGGGGGCAGUACUUCGAUCGGGCGUGUGGGUGGCGUAGUGGUCCUGCAUUACUAGGUGAUUGUCAUGACUGGUUGUAUGGCCUUGGAUCUUCAAACCAUUCAUCAAUGUGAAGUAAGUUAGCCAAUCGAUUUUUCCACUACAAGAGAUGACAACGAAAUAAUAGGACAAUGCAGGACUGCCGUCGACCGAAGCGUUCUGAAGUAGGAUUUUGGUAGUGCCGGUGACUUUCCUCCCUCGCGCAAGGGGAUGGUGUGGGAUCGCGAAAGAAUUCUGAAUUAGAAUUUUGGCGGCGUAGGAGACUUUCCUCCCUCGUCAAUCUUCUUCAUCAACCUUCGUCGUUCUGAGCGUUUGGUGGCGACCUACUUUUGACACAACCCGAUUGCUUGCUUGUGUGAACAUGAUAUUCACUUGCGUGCCAUCUCAUGUGUACACAUGUAGAUAUUAGGGUCGCAGAAAGUGGUGGCGACAUCAAAGAAUGACUUGGAUUUGGUGUUGUUGCUUUAGUACCCGGUCUCGAGCUCCGACAUCAAUACCCUAGGUCUGAUCGCAGUUGGUUAUACCUAGCAAUGGUGGUAUUUUUCCUUUGUUACCUUGUUUACGGAAUUUCUUGCGUUUGCUCAGACUUGAACUUUACGGUAAAAACUCAUGAUCUAGCCUUUGCUGGUUGGAUUCGGCGAUGGCGACGCUUGAGCAUCGUUUCUUUCCUGGAUGUGUUUGUACCAGAGAACCUUUCUCGUUUUCCUUGUUAUGUCAAGAGAUGCUUAGUGUGGAUGGUUGUUGAUGUUGCUCAUCAAUCUCCAUUUUCCUAGUUGCAGUGUAUUUUCCACUUCUUUCUCCGCCUAGGUAUAGAUUAGGACUUGUAUGAAUUUGCUCUUUUCUGGCGUAAUUUUUUGUAUGUGCACUGGUGUGGCCAUGUGCAUUUUAGUCAUGCAAAGGCCUAUUGUAUACUCAUUGUGUUUAUAUCCACCGAUGCCUCAUUUUGACUCAAUAAUAUCCAGCCUUUGUCGAAAAAAUGCAAUGCAUCUAAUCUGUUCCUCUAGCAAAAUCAAAUAAUGAUUUCUUUAUGGUUACAUGGUUGCCGGAAGAAAAUAUGCGGGCUAAUGCUUUGCAUGGCAUAUAUUGCCAAUUCAUGUGCACAUGUAUUUCAAUAAAAAUCUUUGGCCAUUAAUUGGGUCAAUUAGAUACAGUUAUAUGUUUAAGAGAAGGUUUCAAUGGCAUAAAUUUUGUGGCAUAUUAUUUGUAUUUUGUUGGCCAAAUUAAUAGUUGAAAUCUUCAUUGAAAUGCCUGUGAGCCUUAUAAACCUAUAGCUAUGAAUAUCUCAAAGGUAAUAUAAGAUAACACAAACUAAUAUGCAUCUAGUCACUCAAAUAUGUAUCUGAAAAAUUCCCUACAUUUGAGUUUAUUGGGACUGCCAGCGAAACCAAAGGAAAGCAAGACACACUCGAUUUAAUUCUCAGUGACUGCGUGUGGUUCUCGAAACACAAUGAACAACUUGGCUUCUCAGAGCAAGCAUAUUAUAGUAAAGCCGAGUGUUGGCUAUAUAUCAUUGUCAUGUCAAGUUGUCAACUAUAGUCAAUCUAAUAGCACACUCAUAUAAUAAUUACAUAUAGAGAUAUAUUGUCACAUUAAUAUCUAGCACACCUCACUCAAAGGUUUUUUAUAGCCCAUGGUGUAGCUGAGUAUAAAUUUACCGAAAAAGGCUUUCGCCCCGCUUUAUAUUAUAAAGCAAUUGCCCAAGCCAAACAUCCAACAAGGUUCACACACACACACANNNNNNNNNNNNNNNNNNNNNNNNNNNNNNNNNNNNNNNNNNNNNNNNNNNNNNNNNNNNNNNNNNNNNNNNNNNNNNNNNNNNNNNNNNNNNNNNNNNNNNNNNNNNNNNNNNNNNNNNNNNNNNNNNNNNNNNNNNNNNNNNNNNNNNNNNNNNNNNNNNNNNNNNNNNNNNNNNNNNNNNNNNNNNNNNNNNNNNNNNNNNNNNNNNNNNNNNNNNNNNNNNNNNNNNNNNNNNNNNNNNNNNNNNNNNNNNNNNNNNNNNNNNNNNNNUCGAAGGUCGGCGAGGAGGUUGCUGAUGACGUCCCGGUCCUGGGGGCGACUAAGCGGCCGCCAGACCUGCAAGUAUCCACACAUUUUAAAGAAAAUGAUGGCGUUAGUAGCACGUCGAAGAGGCACCUUCUGUAUGACAAGCUUAUUGCGUACGGUCCAAAGCGUCCAGGCAAGGACCCCAACGCAAAGCCAUCUAAUAUGGCUGUGGCGAGGGGGGGGGGGAGGCAUGAAUCUUCGCAAGCAGGUCAGGGAAGUUGGUGUUGCACCACUGGCCCCCAACCGUCUCGCGGAAAUAGGACCAAAGGAACUGUGUUGUGAAGCAUGAGAAGAAGAUGUGGUUGGCAUCCUCCACCGUGCCGCACAUGGGGCACAUCCCAUCCCCAGGGCCAUUACGCUUAAGGACCUCUACGCCGGAUGGGAGGCGGCCUCGGAUCCAUUGCCACAGGAAGAUCCUGAUCUUCAGGGGCAGGCGGAUGUCCCAGAUCAAACUAAAGGGCUCGGGGGCCGUCGAGGGGGCGAUGGCCACGUAGAGGGAUUUGGUGGAGAAGCAGCCGGAAGGUUCCAGGCGCCAAGAGAUGGCGUCCGGGGUGUCGGCGAGGUCCAUAGGGAGGAGGGCGAUGUCCUGAAGAAGGACAUCCCAAGCGGCCACUUCAGGAGGGCCAAAGGGGCGUCGGAAAGCGAGGCGCCCUAAGUCAAUAAGGGCCGUCUCGACAGAGACACGAGGGUCAACAGCAAUGGCGAAGAGCUCCGGAAAACGCGCGGCCAGGGGGGUGUCGCCAAUCCACCGAUCAAACCAGAACAGGGUCGAGGACCCAGUAGCAACCGAUAUGGAUGUGCCAAUGCGAAGCACGGGCAGCAGCUGGACGACGGCCUGCCAAAACUGGGAGCUGCCUGAGCGCUGACAGAAUGCGAGAGGCUGUCCUUGAAGGUACUUGUUCUGGAUGAUGGUGAGCCAAAGUUCUCCAUCGCCAUUGGCAAUGCGCCAGAGCCAACGGGUCAGGAGGGCAAUGUUCAUGCGUCGGGAGGACAAGAUCCCAAGACUGCCCUGGUCCUUGGGUUUGCAGAUAUCUGGCCAGCUGACCAUGUGGUACUUCUGCUUAUCCCCCUCGGCCAGCCCAGAAGAAUCUGGAUUUGUAUUUGGCGAUCUCCUGAUGAAAGGUUUCAUGGAGGCUAUAAAAGCUCAUAAGGAACCAUAGAAGGCUGGCCAGCGAAGAGUUGAUAAGGAUCAUGCGAGCAGCCUUCGACAACCAGCACCCUUUCCAGGGCUCAACGCGAUGUUGCAUACGGGUCACCGUGGGGCGAAGAUCGGCCACGGUGAUGCGCGAAUCACUAAUGGGGAUCCCCAGAUAAGUCGUGGGGAAAGAACCCAACCGACAAUUUAGUCGGUCAGCAAUAGCCUAUGCUUCCUCCAAGGGGUAUCCGAGAACCAUCACUUACAGUCCGCUUUUUUUUCUCUCUCCUUCAACUGAAAAUAAACCUGAAGUGGUAACAUCUUUUUAUACUUGCUCCCAUCUUCUCUCACACCCUACAUGCAGCAAGCGCAGCUCACUCCGUGCUCACGUAUGUGUUCUUGCAAGCCCUGUGCAAUUAUGGGCCACGGCCUUAAAAUUCUGGACUGAACUAAGUGGCCCUCCGGAUAGUAAUCCCGCACGGAGGGAGCAGAUCUUAUCGGAGGAAGCAUGUUUUCCUUUAAGAAUGCUAUAUGCGUACGCAGUAAAAACUAAUUGCGGCAUAGACCUACUAUGUGGCUCCUAGCUAGUUCAAUCUGGGUGGUUGUAUCACGCUUAAUUAGAACCCAUUGUUUAGACAACAUUUUCAUUGAUGGGAUGAGAUAGCAAGAUGACAACAUAUAACAAUAGUAAUCAAAAGGACUGCGUCUCAUCUCUAUCAAUACCUUCGUACUGCUAUACAUCUAGUAAAAUUAUGAAUAACAGCAAUAAUUAAGAGAGGUGGUGUCUCGUCUCUAUCGAUCUACGUACUCCUAUCUACCUAGCUACGUCCUGAGCAUCCCCCUCCCCCUACCCCUCUGGUUGGAAUCAAGAAAGACCACGACUCGCCUCUAUCGACCUACAUACUCCUACCUAGCUAAUUAACUAGGUCCUGAGCUACCCACGGUUGGAAUCUAAACCACCUGCUUAUGGCAUGUCAGAUGCAAAACCCUAAAACGGACACUGUAUUUGUCCGCCUCGGCAAACAGUGAUAUUGAAGCCGGCCAUUCAAUCAUUGCCCGCAUACGUGCGAAAAUAAGUUUAAACAAGACGGAUGAAUUUCAUGCAGACAUUAUAAUUUUCAUUUAAACCGGAUCAAAUUCAUUAUAUUGUGAUAUAUUUUAAUUAAAGAAAAGGAGGAUGAUAUUUCCUUAAAUAGAUUCUAUAAAUGAUCGCUUGUCGUUGCUACCUAGCUAGCUAUGUCCAGAGUUACCCAUGGUUAGAAUCUAAAUCACCUGUUUAGGGUAUGUCCAAUUCAUACUCCUAAAACCGACAUUGUAUUUGUCAGCGUCCGCGUCCGCGUCCACGGACAGUAAUACAGGAGCCGGCCAUCUAACCAUGCCCGCAUACAUCUCAAAGCAAAUUUAAACAAAAUGAAUGAAUUUCAUGCAAACAAGAUAGUUUUCAUUUCAAUUAAACAAAGGCCGAUGAUUUUUUUAAUAUAAUCUAAAUGAUUGUCUGCCGUGGAGGAGUCCGUAUCCCACGUCAUGUCUUCUCCAUGUCCGGCAAGCUCACCGGCUGUGAGCCCGGGAGAGGUGCAGCAGCGAGAGGGGAAGAAUAGGACUGGACUUCCUGGACCCAGGCCAUAGUGGCGUCCCAUGUGCUACUCUUCCUUGCCUGAGUCCACCGUGUCGACGACGCUAGGCGUAGACGGGCCGGCCUCGCGGUCAUAGCGGCGGGGUGUGAACCACAGUGGCGGCACGACCAACACGGAGCUGGCACCGUCCGCGGUUGCCUACGCCUCCUCUUCGUUAACCUACGUGUCAAUCUUCGUGAAUAGAGCGUCCCUCUCCAUCGAUAGAAUGCGCAACCACCAUCGGUUGCGGCGGAUCUCGCAUGCGCUACGCUUGGACUGGUACAUGUCCCGCUACUCAUCUAGGAAGCCCGGAUCCUUCGCGACCAUGACCGUGAUGACAUCAUUGUUCUCCCACUCGCCGGCAAUUUUCCCCUCCAUGAGCAGGUGCUUGUCGAGGAGCCAGAGGUUGUAGCUUUAGUCCUCCAGCGUUUGCCGGAACGCCGACACCGGGGGCGCCUGCUGCUCAUCCAUCAUUACGGCGUCGAAGUGUGCCCGCGCCUGCUGCUCAUCCAUCAUUACGACGUCGAAGUGCGCCCGCGCCUGCUCCAAGGUGAUGCCGGCAUGGACCGGCGAGGGUGUGACACGGUCUCGUCGUUGUAUGCCUCGUCCAUCGUCUCGUCAGCGUCGUUGCCCUCCUGCGACCUCGCCGGUAAGAGCAUCUCCAGAAGGCGCUAGAUAACCAGUGCGCUGGAAAAACCGACUAUUUGGCGCGCUCCAGCGGGCGCGGGAAAAAAAAUCGGCGCGCGCGGAAAAAAGCAGCAUCGCGCGCGGGAGUUUUGGCGCAUGGAGUCCAGCACACUAGUUAAAAGCCACGCCCAGGCGCCCGCCAACCGCCACCAUUUCCCUCCCCCGCGCCUUCUUCCUCGCUUCUUCCAGUGCCUUACCGCCGCCGUGCCUUCUCCCCCACCUCUCCCAGCGCCCCCCCCGCCGCCGCCGCCCCUUCUCCCCCGUGUCUUUUAGCGCCCUGCCAUGCCGCCGUGCCCCGAGAGCAGCGCGGGCGUGGCGCCUCGGGAGGCCACGGGCGCAGAUGAGCAGGCACAUGAACUCGCGGCUCCCCCAUGACUAAUCACCAAGGAGGAUCGCCGCAUCCAGCGGAGGCAGGAGCGCCGCCUCCUCAUCGCCGAGGCGGAUGAGCACGCCAUGGCGGUGUGGCGUGAGCACUUCUCGCAGGAUGUCGUCGACGAGAACGAGUUCUAGGCGCGGAGUAGGGCGGAGCGAGUCGCGCGUCGGACGAACAAGCGUGUGCGGAAGGCACUGGCGGAAGCCCAGUGCGACCUGGGACCUGCGUCGACCUAGGAGGAGGAAGAUCCUCGGUGGACCGACACGUUUACGUUGUCGGACUACACCUUGAGGAGGAUGGCGAGUGGUUUAUCUAGUUGCUGACGCGUUUAUAUAGUAUAUUUGCAUCGUAGCAUCGUUUUUAUCUAGUUUUAUUUGCAUCUAUGGACUAGCUUGCGGCGUGGGUCUUGAAUUUGAACUAUGUGUUCUUUCAUAUAUUUUCGUAUGUGUUGCUUCAAUUUUUUUCAAGCACCGGCUGCUCGCGCGUGCUGGAUUUUGCAACGGCUGCUGACGCUAUAGCAGUGCGCUAAAUUUUGCAGCACCUGGUAAAACAAACACCCUCCUGCACGCUAAAAAAUGCUAUUUCGGCAAUGAAAAAAAUUUAGCACGCCAUGCUACGGCGCCUGUUGGAGAUGCUAUAAGGCAGCCUCUACUGCACUCAAUGUAUUGAAUGUUAUUGGUCUUAAUUUCUGUGUGAUGAGAGAGAAAGACAUAUUUUCUACUUUAAAAUGCAUUGAGAAUAUAGAAAUAUACUUUUUUUAUGGAUAAAUUUUGAAUGCUAGACGUCCAUUUAUUUGAAGACCAAAGAGUACGUCCUGAGCCCCGCUCCCGAACCCCAAAUAAAUCAUCCGUUUUGAGAUGGAUGGACGCAGGGAUUAGCUGCCCUCCAGACGUUAGAUUAUGAACUGCUUAUCGAUGGAAAAUCGAUCGCUGCUUAGUUUCAUAUAAGCUCACGGCAGACAUACCUUUUGACGAGAAUAAAACUCGGCAAACGAAGGAAUUCGAUAGAGUUUGCCGAGAGCCACAUCAAUUGAACUCGGCAUAACAAAAGACGCCUUUCACCGAGAGCUCUGAGACGUUUUUUCAAAAAGAAGGAUCAUGCCGGUCUCUGUAUUAGGGCGAUGCAUUCAGUCAUUUUAAUAAUUAUUCAUCAAGAUUUUACGAAGUAAUACAUUAAUAUGUCUGAAGUCAUCAUCUUGUCGACAUCUGUUGCCACUUCUAUCCACUUAAUGAAGGAGUGCAGAUUGGGGCGCAUAUCCAAACCUCACACUAAAGUAUAACAUUUAAAGCCAGAGGCCCCAACCAAGCCGAAUUGACGGGUCUGGAUCACACACCGAUCCGGCGCACUCCUAGCGGGAACCGCAUGCGCAUGCUGCAGAGGCCGUCGCCAUCAUCUUUCACCGAUGCAUCUUCAGAGUAGAUACUGACGCAUCCAUCUUGCCAGGCCUGCUGUCGACUUCACCACGAUGCCGAGGGCUCGAGACAUGGGAAUCGGCAACAAGGUGCCACGUGGCACAACCAUUCGGGUUUGACGGCUCCGUGACGUUGGGGAUGAAUUCGCCCAGUACGCCACACUCGGGACUCCGCCACGAUUGAAAUUCCUUUUUUCUUCAUGGAGAAUAGCUUUGCCGAGUUCUCUCACGAGGCACUGAAUAUUACUGUAAAACUAUUCCCACGUGCCGCCACAUGGACUUUUUUUUCUGAGUUCUGCAGCUCUCGGCAAACAAUUAUAUUUUAUUUUUAACUAUGAAAAUACUUUGCCGAGUUCCUGUGCUGCAAAGCUCGACUAACAGCCAAUUGGAGCUGGCAGUGCAAUCAGGUGCCGCAGCUGACGAGAGCGGUAAAUGUUACCUUUGCUGAGUCCAAACACAACAAAAACUCGGUGAACCACUUCUAAUGAUUGGAUUUCUCUCAAGCAUUCAAAUGAAAACAUAUAUAUUUUUAACAAUCUAGCAACCUAGUCACAUUUGGCUGUGUGCAUUCUAAUUAUACAAAGGCCGGUUGUUACUCAUAAUGCAUUGUAUCUUCCUGAUGCUACAUUUUAAGGUAAUAAAGCGUUCUUUAUCGAAAAAAGCAACCUAUCUAGUCACAUACCAAUAAGUCCACAAGUUCCGCAAAGUGGUUUUGUAUCCAUACUAACAUAUUCACAAGUCAAAUAACAAGUUCGAUAAAAAGUUUUUCACAAUUGUAACAAGUUCGAUAAGAAGUUCACAAGUGACAUAAAAACAAGAUCAUCAUACAAUUUGCCGACAUGACGUCUGCGCUGAACAUACACCAAAGUUAUAAAUCUGGAAAAUAAAAACUUCAAAAUAGAAAAGUAAAAAGGACUCUGAGAUGUUAUGCCCGAUAAAAAUGUGCACCCCUUAUCGUCGAACAUUGAAAGAACUCGGUAGCAUAUGUUCCCAUUAGUAAUAAUAAACCAAUUGGUUUUACACCAUCAUCAGGUGUACGUCAUCUUGAAUCAAAUUCAGAUUAGUUUCUUAUCAAUUCUUUUCAGAGGAACGACCAAAAAGUGGUCUGUCCAGAUCAUAUGAGAGGAAAGGAAAGAGGAAAAAAAUUUGUUUAUUAGUGAUGUAUUCUUAUUUAAUUUUGUUGAGGGUGGGAGUGAAGAAUGGAAGGGAGUAAGAAAUGGUACUAGGUAUAGUAUAUGGCCUUCUCCCCUGUUGGCAAUAAUCUUGCUUUAAUGUUAUAGUGUCAUGUGGUAAGUCUUGUUAGAUGUUCUUGUUAUAGUAUCUCUCUCUCUCUCUCUCUCUCUCUCUCUCCCUCUCUCUCUCUCUCUCUCUCUCUCUCGCGCGCGCGCAGAGGAUUUUUUGCAGGUCCGCUCUGGUGCACUGAAUAAGUAUCAUGCAUACAACAAUUAUAGGAUAGACCGGGUAACCACUAGGAAGAGCCGAAGAGGUUGGUGCGCCACGUGUGUCACAAAGAGAAGAUGUGCCUGGUUCUAGGGCUGUAUAUAGAAACUAGAUCAUAUCCCACGUGUUGUUGCGGGAGUGGUGGCAGUAUAUGAGAUUUGAAACAUAGAUAUCUGACUUAAAAAAUGAACUGAAAUUAAAUUACACAUGAUUUGUUAAAUGUAUUUAUUGAAUAAACAAUUUUGCAUACAUGUUUGCAAGUUUAUUUGGUUCUUUGCCCAUGCGUAUUUGCAUGGUGAGGUGGACAACUAUUUAGUUAUUUUGUCAAGUUAGGUCCCCCCUCCUCCCCAGUGGUGCAUAUUUAGAGAAAUAGGUUAGUGAAGAUCAACUAUUUGAUUAUAUAGCGAUUGGUGUUGCCCUGCCGCUUCUAUGGAGAUCGCUGAGCGACCGAGUGCUGCUGGGAAGGGACCAAUGUCCAUUGACCAGUCCUAGCAAAACGGCCACCAUGACAUGUAAGAAGAACAUCCACACGAUCGUCACACAAUUAAUAUGUGUUGCCGGUCAUAAAGAGGCUAUGUUUGGCGUCUGAUAUUCUCUCCAAGUCUCAACUGAGUCCUACAUUCAACCAUGCAUCUCCCAACAGAUGAUUUAUUGGGGCGGCAGGAGUGAACUAGCUAGACAUAUGGAGAUACGUACGUAGAUUUAUUGGGGCGGCAAUGUAGAUGUAUGAAUUGCACGAUAUAUAGAUUCGGUGCAAUGUGCACGGUAUAUAUAAGUACAAGGUGGGGCCUCGACCUCAAUCUAUACAACAACCUAGAGAGGUGGGCCUAAUGUACAAAAGCCAAUAUACAUGCACGGAUAUCAUNNNNNNNNNNNNNNNNNNNNNNNNNNNNNNNNNNNNNNNNNNNNNNNNNNNNNNNNNNNNNNNNNNNNNNNNNNNNNNNNNNNNNNNNNNNNNNNNNNNNNNNNNNNNNNNNNNNNNNNNNNNNNNNNNNNNNNNNNNNNNNNNNNNNNNNNNNNNNNNNNNNNNNNNNNNNNNNNNNNNNNNNNNNNNNNNNNNNNNNNNNNNNNNNNNNNNNNNNNNNNNNNNNNNNNNNNNNNNNNNNNNNNNNNNNNNNNNNNNNNNNNNNNNNNNNNNNNNNNNNNNNNNNNNNNNNNNNNNNNNNNNNNNNNNNNNNNNNNNNNNNNCAAGCCCUUGGUCAUGAUAUCUGCAAAUUGUUGGGAAGUAGGAACGUGUAAAACACGAAUAUGGCCAAGAGCCACCUAUUCCCGAACAAAAUGAAUAUCCAACUCAAUAUGCUUGGUCCGGCGAUGAUGUACCGGGUUAGCAGAGAGGUAGACCACCGAGACGUUGUCACAGUAGACCACCGUGGCAUGGUCAACAGGGCAGGAAAGCUCCUGAAGCAGCUGGCGAAGCCACGAACACUCAGCGACAAUGUUGGCCACCGCACGAUACUCAGCCUCAGCACUGGAACGAGAGACAGUAGGCUGCCGCUUAGACGACCACGAGAUAAGUGAGGGUCCAAGGUAGACACAAUAGCCCGAAGUGGAACGACGAGUGUCAGGACAGCCCAUCCAGUCAACAUCGGAGUAGGCGGUGAGGACAGUGUCGGCGGAGGCAUAAAGCGUGACGCCAAGAUCCAUAGUGCCACAGACAUAGCGAAGAAUCCGCUUGAUGGCAGCCCAAUGAAUGUCUCGAGGAGCAUGCAUAUGAAGACACACCUGCUGCACGGCAUACUGGAUCUCCGGUCGAGUCAGGGUGAGGUACUGGAGAGCACCAACGAUAGACCGAUAGAAAGCAGCAUCCGAAGCAGGAGAACCAUCCGUGGCAGAGAGCUUGGCCUUCGUAUCAACAUGCGUAGCGGCGGGCUUGCAGUUAAGCAUCCCGGCGCGCUCCAGGAGCUCAUGAGUGUACUUCCGCUGAUGAAGGAAGAAGCCAUCCGGACGACGCACCACCUCGACACCGAGGAAGUAGUGCAAAUGGCCCAAGUCCUUGAUGGCGAACUCAGCACGAAGACGAGCCGUGAGCUGAGUGAGGAGACCAGCCGUACAUGCCGCCAGGAUGAUGUUGUCGACGUAGAGCAGCAAGUAGGCCGUGUCGGAGCCCUGAUGAUAGACGAAGAGCGAGGCGUCCGAGCGGGUAGAGCAAAACCCAAGCUGGUGGAGAAACGCCGCUAUGCGUUGGUACCAAGCGCGCGGAGCCUGUUUGAGUCCAUACAAGGACCACGAGAGCAGGCACACAUGGUCGGGAAGUGCCGGGUCAACAAACCCGGUGGGCUGCUGGCAGAAGAUCUGCUCCUCGAGGUGACCAUGGAGGAAGGCGUUGGAGACGUCCAUCUGGUGCACCGGCCAAGCACGGGAGACCGCAAGGUGAAGAACCGUGCGAAUCGUGCCGGGCUUGACGACCGGAGCGAAUGUGUCGGUGAAGUCGAUGCCAGCACGCUGCCUGAAGCCCCGAACGACCCAACAUGCUUUAUAGCGAUCAAGAGUACCAUCAGGACGGAGCUUGUGUUUGAAAACCCACUUCCCGGUAAUCACGUUGGCGUGCCGGGGACGGGGAACAAGCUGCCACAUUCGGUUGCGCAACAAGGCGUCAAACUCCUCUUGCAUCGCAGCCAGCCAGAGCGGGUCAUGAAGAGCGGCUCGGACGGAGGAUGGCAAAGGCGACGGCUCAGAGAUGGAUGCCGCAUGGACGUAGUCAUCCGCGGCGUAGCGCGAGCUCGGGCGAAAAACGCCCGUACGGGCGCGAGUGACCGGGCCGGCCACAGGUGCCGGAGGCGCGGGGGCCGGGGGCGCCGAGGAGGCCGGGGGCGCUGAGGGGGCGCUGAGGGGCGCCGGGGGCGCCGAGGGGGCCGACGGCGCAGGGCGGGGGUGCGCCUCAAAGCCAGGGGACGGGCCAGGGGGCGACGCCGAGGAACCCGUGUCACCGGUGGCGGGAGGAACAGCUGGAGGUACCCGCUGAAAUGGAAACACAUGCUCAUCAAAGUAAACGUGCCGGGAAGUGAACACACGAUGGGAGACGGGAUCGUAGCACCGAUAUCCCUUGGAGUUGGAGGGGUAUCCGAUGAAGAUGCAAGCGACAUAACGAGGUGCGAGUUUGUGAGGAGCGGAGUCCACAGUUCUAGGAUAACAAAGGCACCCGAAAAUACGCAAGUCAUCAUAAGAUGGGGGCGUAUCGAAGAGAAGAUGGUGAGGUGCAUAGUUCCACCGUGGGCGGCAAGGGCGAAGGUUAAGGAGAAGUGAAGCAGUAGCGAGUGCAUCUGGCCAGAAACGAGGUGGCACAUUAGCGUGGAACAGGAGCGUCCGAACGCAGUCGUUCAGAGUGCGAAGGACGCGUUCGGCUCGACCAUUCUGCUGUGAAGUAUACAGGCAUGUGAGACGAAAAACCGUGCCGUGGUGUGACAGAAAAGUGCGGAAAGCAAGAUUGUCGAACUCUUUUCCAUUGUCAGUCUAAAGAGCAAGAAUGAGACGCCCAAACUGCGUGCUGACAUAGGAGUAAAAGGCCGACAAAGUGGAGAGUGCAUCCGACUUGCGUAGUAAAGGAAAUGUCCACACAUAGUGAGAAUAAUCAUCAAGAAUAACCAGAUAGUAUAAAUAUCCCGAAUUACUAGGAACCGGAGAGGUCCACACAUCGCUAUGAAUCAACUGAAAAGGAAAAGAAGCUAUGAUGGUGGAGUUAUUAAACGGAAGGCGGACAUGUUUGCCGACACGACAGGCAUGACAGGUGUGAUCCUCUAUCUUAUUACAACCGAAACUGAAACUCCUAAGAAUAUGACGAAGUGUGACGGGGUUGGGAUGACCCAAACGAGCGUGCCAGAGAUCGACACCGACGGAGAGAGCAACCGGUGCGAUGGUGGAGGUGGACGGCGGAUGCACCAGAUAGAGCUCGUCGAGGCUGUCACAUCGGUGAAGUACCAUCCUGGUUCGAGCGUCCUUGACACAAAAACCACGCUCGUCAAAUUCAACAGUAACAGGAUUUCAUGAGUUAAACAACGAACGGAAACAAGAUUCUUAAUAAGAUGAGGGGACACAAGAAUGUUAGACAAAGUAAUAGGCAUAGAAGUAGAAGGAAAAGAAGUGUGCCCAACAUGUGUGAUAGGUAGUGUGGAACCGUCGCUGACAAUGAUGCGGCGGUCGGUGGUGACAGGGGUGAAGGAGGCAAGAUUACCAGGAUGAGCAAACAUGUGAGCCGUAGCCCCGGUGUCCAUGUACCAAUCACCGCCUCCAGUGUAGUUGUUCGGCGUGGGCGCAGCGUGCAGCGCGGCAAGGAGCGCCGGAUUCCAAGGUGCCGGCGGCAGGACCAGCGAGGGCGGCGGCGGGACCGCAGGGAGACCGUAGGCGCCGCUCAUCUGCGGCGGUGGGUAUCCUCCGUACGGCUGCGGAGCGGCGUAGUAGGCCUGGUGCGCCGGUGGGCGCGACACGGGAAGCGUCGGUGCAUGAGCCCGUGGAACCGGCAUGGUGUACGCAUGGACAACACCGGUCCAGGGGUUGUAGCCGGAGGCCCAUGGGGGCGGCACCUGGAGCUGCUGCGGCGCCUGAAACUGCUGCUGCUGCUGGCCAGCUUGCUGCGGCUGCUGCUGACCGCCGCGUCGGCCACCGCGCCGGCCCUCACGGCGCUUUUCAGCGGGAGAAGCGGGGGGCACGGGUGGGCCGUACGGCAGGGGCAGGAGCCCUGGCUGCUGGGGCGCCGGAAAAGGCGCCUGAUGACGCUGCUGGGGCGCCGGGGCAGCGGGAGGCGCCGGAGGCCCACCGCGGGAGGUGCCGGCAACGAGGGAGGUGUGGAUGGCGCGCGUCUUCACCUGCUUCAUCCGCUUCUCCUCCAAGCGGAGAUACGCAACGAACUUGGUGAAGGACGGGUUGGGGAUGAGGCCGAGGUUCCCCGCGGCGUUGCCAAAAUCCUCGUUGAGCCCGACGGUGAGCGUGCUAAGGAGGAGGUCAUCAUCGACCUUGGCGCCAAUAUCGCGAAGCUCAUCGGCGAGAGUCUUAAGGCGGCGACAAUAGUCGUCGAUGGAGGUGUUGUCCUGAUGACACCCAAAGAACUCUUGCUGCAGAAAAACGCGACGCUGGAGCUUGUUGUCGGUGAAGAGCCCGUUCAGCUUGGUCCACACGGCGCAGGCAUCAUCACCGUCCGUCACGACCGUCUGGAAGAGGUCGGGCGUGAUGGUGAGGAAAAACCAGCGGAUGAUCGUGGUGUCGAUGGUGGACCAGUCGUGAAACUCGGGGACGAGACUGGAGUCAACGGUGCCGUCCACGUGAUCCAUGAGAUGGUACUUCCGGAACAUGAGGGAGAAGUACGUCUUCCACGUGUUGUAGGAGGAGUCCGCCUGGGAGAGACGAACCGGCACCCGCUCGAAGAUGUUGAGCCUGCGGAUGUCGUUGACGUCAGGAGGGUUGGCGUCGGCAAACGGGUUGGAGUUGGUGGACGCGGAGGAAGUGACUGACGACAUGACGAGGCGACUCAGUGGCUCAGGUCAGCGGCAACAGCGUUUUGCGAGGCGAGCGGGUACUGGCGAGGCGAGCAGACGAGGCGUGCGGCGUGCGUCCGAUCAGACGGGACAGGCAGCUGGCAGGCGAGGUUGGCGCGUAGCGGCUGGCAGCGUGCGGGCGUAGCAGCUGGCGCGUAGUGGCGAGCAGCGUGCAGGCGAGGUGGGCGUAGCAAGCGCGCGUAGCAGCUGGCGGCAAGCGGCGCGACUCACGCGGGUGGCUGGCGGGUUGCGCGAGCGUGGGCGGGCGCUGAUCUCGAGCCGGGGCGGGUAAGGGAUCGGGAUGGGAAGCAGCGGCGGCGGCACGGAGGAGCGUGGCGGCAGCGGCAGCGGAAGCUAGGGUAAAAGUCUAAACCUAGAAACUGAUACCAUGUAAAUGUAUGAAUUGUACGAUAUAUUGAUUUGGUGCAAUAUGCACGGUAUAUAUAAGUAUAAAAUGGAGCCUCUACCUCAAUCUAUACAACAACCUAAAGAGGUGGGCCUAAUGUACAAAAGAUAAUAUACACGCACGAAUAUCAUACUCAACAGGCAAGAGUCAGGUUGCCAGACAUACAUGAGGUAUACGUAUGUAGAGAUAGACGACACGCCUCCUCUACUCAUCAACAUCCCUUGCAUGUUGGCCGGUGUUAUGCUGUCACACUUAGCUACCUCAUCCCAUUAUGUUAUGUAAAGCAAGUGGUUUAUACUCUAAGAUUAUCUAUUUUGGAAAAGGAGGACCAGUCCCUGGCAUCUACAUCAUAAUGACGCACACAACUAUAUUGUUAAUUAUUCAACAUGAAUGAUUAUACAAAUAUAAAAUUUUGGUACAAGUAAAACCAUCAAGGGAGGAAAAAAAAUGCUACAACCAGCGUAGACAGGCAAACAUGUCUAAACAUAAAGCUUCUUACUGGAACACCAUCCAACCGGUCGGAAGAUUCCCGUGCACCCAUAUGUCGUAUGAGCCCGCCCUUCCGCCGCUUGCAGUAAGGAUCAUGUAUGGAUCCAUCCUAUAGCCUUGAAAAGACCUAUACAAAAAUUGGUACCUUCAUUAUGUGAAAAAUUGUCAUUAUGACAGUUCCACAAAGCCAAUAGAAAAGCACACACCCCAACCCGGAUAUGUGCCUUUAAUUUAGAGUGCACCCCACCCAGCCAGUUACCAAACAAUUCAAUAUGCUAGUUGGCAGGGCAAAUUAUAGGCUACAUGAACUGUAUGACAAAGCAAGGUGGCAAAUGGACAAGAAACGGAAAGAUGAAUGGACAAGAAACGGAAAGAUGAUUAAUUUUCACCUCAGGAUCACAAAAGCAAUAUUUUUUUAUUUCCUUGCCACUGGUGUUUUGACAAAUUAUCCUUAGUAGAGAUCACUUCUCUGUAAAGAAAUCACAUGAAAUUUUUAUUUUUAAUAGAACCUUGGUUUUCCAAUUAACUUGUCUACAAAAUGCAGGCCCAAUACACAUAAGAUCCACAAACAUAGAUUUAACCAAUAAUACACGUGUACAAUAUUGAUAAGAUCCACAUAUAUAGAACCUAAGUUGAUACAUCUUUUUGACUAAACUAUUAAUGUCCCUUUUAGAGAAUGGAAAACCCAAUAAAUUUUGGAGGAUAGGAAUUCUAUAGAAAUGUUAGCUUUGGUGCCAUUUGGAACAAAAGAAUUGUUAUUCUACAUUCGUGUAAAAUUCCUAUGGAAUGGGCUAUUACAUAGGAAUUCUGGAGGAAACCAAAAAAUAAGGUCCCUCAUGCUUUGUCACUUUUUGUGUACAAUAUUCAUGUGUUUACCUGUAUGACUUCGAAGCGAUAGUUUUGUAGUUUCAUAUGGUUGUAAUUAUUGUAGGAAUACAUGAUACAUCACAUCCCAAUUCCCACACAUUCCUAUUUCUAUGUUUUGAAUUCUUGUGUUCAAAUGAGGCCUAAGCAUUUUAAGACAUUCUAUAAUCUUGAAAAUUAUACAUUAGCUAUCAAUUUCUCGGAGAAUAUGUUGGGUCAAUUAAAAUAAACCAUGCGAUAUAGAAAUAUAUUUAAUCGUAUAUUUGUUAAUAUCAAAGAUUAGAAAUGAUCCUCUACACUCAUGGAUAUCGCCGACAUCUCUACUUUUUAGGUGAUAAAUAUCUUGCAACGAGAUAACUAGAAAAAAAAUACACAAACAAGAAUAUAGGGCUUCAGAACAAGAUAACCACGAGUCAAGAACAUGAAUUUAUCCAAAUUUCACACCCUUAGGGUGGCUGCAGGGGUGCUGGUAAUCUCCCUUGGGCAGGCGUGGGGAACACGAAGAUAUUCCCACUGACACAAAGUCUCGCCUUUUUCUCGUCUAGUCUCCACCAACAAAUAUCUGAGCUAUAUCACUAAGUGGCAGACCUUGAUAUAACUUUUACAAACUUUUCCAGAUGAAAAUUUACAACUUUGGAAUCUUUCGAUUAACACCAAUGAACUAGGGAUUCCCAAAAUCCCAUGCGUAACAAGCAACAUGAUGAACUCAAGGGGAACUCAAAUUUGGGCUAGUGGAAUGAUAAAUUGGGUGCUCCUCUUUCUUUUCCCUUGAAGGAUCAAUAUAUUCGGGGGAUAAUGGGAUGAGCAUAUUAAGCUUUUGGUGCAGAGAGGGAGUGGAAACUUAUCCGAGUCAAUGACAUUCUGGGGAAGAAGGGUUAAGAUUAUUUAUGACCCACUCAAAAUCUAUCCAUCAUGUUCCAUUUGAUCCUCUCUGGAACUUUUGGGCAUUCCAGACUGGAUAAACACGGAACCUCUGAGUGAGUUCACUAGCUCCUAGAACCAUCCAGAGCCUCACUCAUAAUACCAUCUAGAGCGUCACUCAGAAUACCAUCCAGAGCUCCAAUCCACCAGGUGUGUUUCCCAGAGCCUCCGGAUGAAGCCUUCGGGUUAGAUCAGAAGCAAAAUAGCUAAUUCUUUAAGGCUUCUCACAAGGUUUUCUCUCUCAACCGAGUGUGUGGAUAUAUGACAUGUUAAGAUGUUAACCCCCACACUUUUGUCCAUCACGGAAGCUCCUCAUAAUAGUCCAACUUUCUUAUGAAUAUACAUAAGAUAAAAUACGACAAUUUAAAUUGGUNNNNNNNNNNNNNNNNNNNNNNNNNNNNNNNNNNNNNNNNNNNNNNNNNNNNNNNNNNNNNNNNNNNNNNNNNNNNNNNNNNNNNNNNNNNNNNNNNNNNNNNNNNNNNNNNNNNNNNNNNNNNNNNNNNNNNNNNNNNNNNNNNNNNNNNNNNNNNNNNNNNNNNNNNNNNNNNNNNNNNNNNNNNNNNNNNNNNNNNNNNNNNNNNNNNNNNNNNNNNNNNNNNNNNNNNNNNNNNNNNNNNNNNNNNNNNNNNNNNNNNNNNNNNNNNNNNNNNNNNNNNNNNNNNNNNNNNNNNNNNNNNNNNNNNNNNNNNNNCCAACUCGUCUACUUAAGCAUGAGACAAAUACAUGAACUUACAAGGUGAAGGUCAUUCACCAAAACCAACUUAGGUGUUAAGGUUUCCUUUAACUCUCUCUCCACACCCGAGCUAGUAGACUCCAUGACUCGAUCAAUUUCUUGACCCCUCCUUCUC